AUUUCUGCCUGUUCAUCAUGUGGUGUAAGAUAUAUGUUGAGAUGAAGUUUUUGGGAUUAGUGGUCGAAAUUAACCCGAUCAUGUUUUCUCUUGUAACUAUAUAGACUUCAACUUGUACUCAUAAUAAAGCAUGCUAUAUUUAUGAAGAGAUAUUAAUCUUCAGGCAAAUAGAUAUUAUGAAAACAUAUAUAGCAAUUUAUCCAGAAGAAAUAUUAUGAAAUGAAAAGAAUAAAAAGUAAAAAAACAGAAGGAAAGGAAUUCGCACCUGCUAUGUAUGAAAGGACCAAGAUUGUUUUCCCUUUGGUUAAUGACUAGAAAAGCUCACUUGCAGAUUGCUUUCUCUGACCGUAGAUGCAACAGAAAUUUUCUCUUAAUAAUAGCACAAUGAUCGGGUAAUUGUAAGAACAAGUUGAUUUAAAAUUCCUUGACCCAAAAAAAAAAAAAAAAUCAUUUCAAAUUCAGGUCAACCCAUAGAUUUCUUGCCUUUUUCUUCUUCAUCACGUUGGGCUUGUCUUCUUCUUGAGGAUUGUAUAGGCCCAGGAAAUGCUUUGAGGUAGUUUUUGGCCUUGGAAGUUGGGACCCAACCCAACUUCACAAAAAGAAAACAGAUUUGCCAAAAAUCAAAUUUCAAGUCUCUCCUCAGAUCACUAAUACAGAUCAAAUUUUGGAUUUGAUGAACUAAAGUGGUUUUACUUUCUCUGUCAGUGUUUGAUGACUUAAUUUGUUAUUUACUUCUUUUUUUUUUUUUACUUGAUCUUUGUAGGGGUUUUUUUCUUCCGGUAACUUAAACGGGCUGGGCUGCCGUAAAGGGUAGAUUGAUGAAAUUGUCUCCUUUGUCUGAGUUCGAAAAUCAAGCCCCAAAAGCGCUUCGAAAGGGCAGUAGAGCCUUAGGAAGCGUUCUAGUCAUCUUCACCAACUAAAACAACAGCAACUUACAGAUGAUUUCUUAAGGCUUACAGAUAAAUUUUCUAGCUUGGCAUGAGAGGCUUGUGACAUGGAAGCAAAAUCAGCAUGAGUUUAGCACCAAAGAGGAAAAUAUGGCUUCCUAGGGAGAAAUGGGAGUGUUUAAGGUGAGGAAGAAGAGGUUUGCAGGCUGAUUUGGCUGAGGAGAGAGAAAGAAAGAACAAUGUUCUUCCAGUAGCUUGACAAAGCUUCUGACAGAUGUGAAAGUCGUCUGCCAUAAGAGGAAAAUGAAGAAGAAUGGUGAAUAGUGCAUGAAAUUGCUGGGUUUUUGCAGGUAAGAGAGAAAGCUUGCUCUCUGAAUUUGAGUUGGUUUUUGGUUGGGUAGAAGAGGCCCCCUUUUAUAGCUGCGGGAAACCAUCUUUUUUCAAGAAACCCUAAUGGUUUCUAUCCAUUUUGGCCAAGCUUUUCCCUUCAUUUCUCUUCUCCUCCCUUGACUUUUCCUAUCUUGGUGAAAUUUCCUCUGCCUAUUUGCACAAAAUUAGAGAUUUUGAGGAGCUCAAGACCCCUUUCCCGCAGCUGCCUCAGUGGAGAAUCCCCAUUUUCAGUCAUCUUUCUUCCUUCUUUUCUCCCAUCUUCCAAGGUUAGGUCUGAUGAGGGAAAGAAAUGGGUAUGCACACUGGUUUGAAGGGUAUUUUUGCUUGAAACUUGUUCUCUCCCAUGUGCUGGAGCUUCCCAGCAACUUACACACAUGGAUAUUUUGGCUUUCAUCGUGGCUUUUGUUUUCAGCUAGGUGCUGGAGAUUUCGCAGAUAUUUUCAUGAGUUGCUUGGGCCUUCUAGGACAAUAGGUUGGUUUAUCAAGUGAAUGGGCUAACUUCAUCAAUUGUUGGGCUAUUUUGGUUGAGUUAAUGGACUAUUUUGGUUGAAGUAAUGGGCUAUUUUGGUUGAAUUAAUGGGCUAUUUUUCUCUCUUUGUGCUCACCCACAUAUUUGGGCCUAAGAAAUGGGCUUGAGUUCCGGGGCUCCCAAGCAACCCCGGGACUUCCAUUUCUCGGCCCAUCAAUGGGCCUCAUAUCAACUUAUUACCAUCCAUAUCACAACCCACUCAAGCAAGCCCUGGGCAUCUUGCGUGGCUUGGGCCCACUUAAGCUUGUAGCGUGACGUGUUGCUUAUUUGCUUGGCAUGGCAUGUGUGCAAGCGCAUAUGACGAACUUUAGCGUGCCCAAAUUGGGUUUAUUCUCGGUAAGGUAUCGCAUUGGGCCGAGAAUUUAAUUGGGCAGAACUGUGGAUUUUUGGGCCUCAACAAUCUUAUAUAUAUUGGUUUUCUUUUUUUCCUUAAUAUUCACCACCUUUCUGUUGCAUAAGUAUUUCAGUCUUAACGGGUUUCCAUCUACCACUCAUCUUUGCUCUUUUAAGUGUAAGCUUUUUUUUUUUUUUUUUAAGCACAAGAUUAGAGGGGAGGGGGAUUUCUCAAUGUAAGCUUUGCAGUUUCAUAAUUAAUAUUUCCAAUAUCUCACUGUUAGUAAAAUAUGGAACAGGAAAAGUAUGAAUAAAAUACACACAUGUUUUAUUUAGCAAAAUUUUGACAAGAUACAACUGAAAAGUUUGGCCACUAUAUAAUAUUUUGAUAUAAUUUCUACACUUCUUCUCAAAAGAUUAGAUCACUUCACAUCUUGUGUAUGUGAAAACUAAUGUAAAAAGUUGAAACUUUAUCGUAAAACCUCGACAAAAAUGAGCUCUACUAGAAAAUGUUCAAUUUGGAUUCGUUGAUUUAAAUGGCAAUUUGACACUUGAUAGAAAUUUUUACAUACAUGUGUUAGUGUUUGAUCACUUCACAUGUUACUUACUAUAUUUAUUCCACUCAAGUUAGGUAAAUAUUAUUAUCAAACAUUUCAAUUAAUUUGUGAUUUUUUUAUUAUUUAAUCAAUUAUGAAUUAAUGGAUUCUUCUUGUUGUUUUGAAGACCAAUAAAAAAAAAAGGGUAAGGAUGGCUUAUAACUCUGAUAAAACAACAGUGACGUGGACAGCAGAUGUUACACCGUACUGAAGAUUUUUGAAGAUUCUUUAUUUGGGUUUCUUUCAAGAUGAAAACCAUAUUAUCCACAACCACAAUGAAGAAGACAGAAAAUGGAGUAAUUCAGAUGUUACCAGCCAUCCACGACAAACUGAAGUCUGCAAAGCAUUCGUAAUCUAAAGGGAGACUUUGGAAAAGCCCAAAGGAGAGAGAAAAUUUUUAAAAGAAGCAAAAAUGGACAAAAUUGCCCUUAUUUAUUUUUUGAUUUCCUAAGAAAUCCUUUACAUUUGCAUGUCUUUGGUUUGAAAGUUGAGAGGUUAUUCUGUCUUUUUUCAAAAAGCUUUGGCUUUUUCCAAAAGUGAAAGUUUUUUUAUGGGUAAAACCUAAAUUUACUUAAUCCCUAAAAAGGAUGGGGAGGCUGCGCAAUACUUAGCCACGUGUAGGCCAGGAGGCUUUCCAAUUUUAAUAUAUAUAUAAAUUGAAAAAAUAAAAUAAAAAUCAAUCUAUUAUCCUAUAUAAAAUAAAGAUUAUUGCUUCCAUGGGCAGUGCUAUGCACAGGACAGUGCCUGCCCAGCACAAAUUUUUUUUAAAUAAAAAAAAAAAAUCUACAUAUGUUAUAAGCUCAUCCAAAAAAAUAAAAUAAAAUAAAAGUAAAUUCUACAUAUAUGUUGCCCAUCUAGGUGGUUCCAUAUCUUCUCUCUCCUUCUCUUUUGGCUAUUAGACUUCUUGUUUCUCUCUCUCUCUUUGCUACCUCACAUCAGCAAGUUUCUCCCUCUCUUUUUUUGGGGUCAAAUUCUUCCUCUAUUGACAAAAUCUUCUAUUAUCUUGGGUGGGCAACUUGGCAACAACAUCUUCUCUUCUCCUUUUGUCAACAACAAGUAUUAUUCUCAUUCUCUCAUUUGCUAUAUAUCUUUAAUUAUAGUUUUAAUUUAAAAUUGAGUAUUCUAGGGUUUAAUUAGGGAUGAAUUAUAAUUUUAGAAUUUUGUUGAAAUUAAUUAAGGCUUCGAUUAGGGGUGAAUUAUUCUACUGCUUUGGUUUGGAAUUUUGUUAAAAUUGAGUAUUAUAGGGUUUAAUUAUGGAUGAAUUAUAAUUUUUGAUUUUGGUAUUAUUGAGAUGUUAUUAUGAGAAUUUGUUUCAUUUUUUUAUUGGUAUAUUUGAUUAAAAUUCUUUCUACAUAUUAUUCAUAGGCUAUCUUUUAUUAUGUCGGAUCACAAUCGGAAUCCCAAGAGAACAAAGAAUUUGAAUAGUGUUGUUUUGUAUUGCAUUGCAUUUACUUUUGGUUUUAGUUUUGCUUUUAGUGUAAAUUACUCAAAUGGUCCUCAAAUUUGUACCCGAUUUACAUUUUGGUCCAUAAACUAAAUUAUUCAUUCAAAUGGUGCACCAACUCUUUAUUAAUCAGUGCUUUGGUCCUACCGUUAUGUUUUCUAUUAAAUUUAGUCAUGUGAGCAGCACAUGCUACAUUUGUAGGGGUAAAUAAGACUUUUGACCACUUUAUCACCUAUGUAUCACCACUUUAUAACCUAUUUGGAGAACAUAGGUCAGUUAUGGACGGUUUUACAAUUAUAUUUGACGGCAACAUUAACAUAAUGUAACAGUGGGAUCAAUGGAGCGAUUAAUAUAGAGUUGAUGGACCGUUUGAACGAAUAAUUUAAUUGAGGGACCAAAACGUAAAUUGAGUAUAAGUUUGAGGACCAUUUGAGUAAUGUACCCUUCGCUUUUAUAUUUGUUGAACUUUUAUUUAUGGAUAGAUAUGCAUUUGAGGGUAAGACCCAUUAUGUUCCCCCUGACUUGGUGUAUCUUUUUAUGUUUAUUAAUGAAAUUCACUCGAACUGUUGAGUUUAGUAUGUAAGUUUUGCCUAACCGGCUUUUGAAUCCUAGAACCGCCACUGUUGCUCCAUCCUCCAUGCACUUGCAUGUGCUCUUACAAAGUGUGAAGUAGAUUUUGUGUGCUCCAAGUCAUUGACUAGAGCUGAAACAUGGUUAGCUAGAUUUAUAAGGACCCAUCUCUCUAUUUCCUAGACAUAUACCCAUCUCUCUAUAAAUCUAUAUGUAAAACUCAAUUUCAAACUUAAAUGACCAGUAAGAUAUAAGAGGUCAUAGUAUUCCUAUGUUUUUACAUCGUUGCCACCAGACUUCUUAUUUUAUUUAUAAUUUAUUUCAAGCAUUUCAUUAACUGCCAUAAUUGUAAUUAAUACUCCAUAUUAAUAGCAUAUCAAUCACCCCAUUUCUUUUGAUUGCCAUUCCCUCUAACAUAUCGCCCCUUAAAAUUGAAAACCAAAAAAAAAAAAAAUGUAAAUUACAUAUCCAAUAAUGUACCUAUGAAAAAUAUAAAUAUAAAUAUAUACGUAUAAAAAUAUAGGUUUAUUAUUUACCAAAUAAAAAAUAUAAAAAAACUAGGUCAGUUGCUUUGUAAUUGAAAUUUCUAUACAUUUUCCACAAAUUAAAAAUAGGUACACAAUAAUUUAUAGAAAAUAUAGGUGCAUUAUUUAUCCAUAGGUAAAAAUACCUAUAAAUGCACAUAGGUAAAUUAUUUACCCAUAUAUUAUUUUUUUGCUAAGGAUUUACCUUAGUUUUUAGUAGAUUAAUUUACCUACCUAGAGGCAUAGGUAGCUUAAAAAAAUUGUAGCACCUUAGUUGGUUGCAUACUAAUUUACCUACCUAGAGGCAUAGGUUGCUAAGAAAAAAUGUAGGUAAAUUCAUGUACCUAAACACAUAGGGGUCAAAUAGAGAAUAACAUGUUAUUUCCCUUCGAACAAAUUAAUUUCAAACCAUAACAAUAAUUGAAUUCGGAAAUUGGUAUAAAUAAAAGGAAAUAAAUAAGCUAUCAAUUUGAAAAUUAAAAUAAGAAAUGAUCAAGUAGUCAUAUUUGAAAAAAAAGAAAAGAAUAUAUUCUUGGUUUUUAUAGGAACAACGUGUAUAUUCAAACCAAAUGGCAGUAACUACACCAAGCUUUAAUUACUUUUUUUUAAGGCCAAAAGUCACUUUUGGUCUCUGUAGUUUGACACUUCUAUUACUUUUGACGCUGUAGUUUCAAUUCCGUCAAUUUUGCCAUUGUAGUUUCAUAUUUGUAGCAAUUCAAGGACAUGUUAAUAUUAAUGUCAAUUUGUUUAAUGAUGCAAGGGGUAAUUUCGUCAUCCCAAAAUCCUUGAGCAUAAAAGCUUGUCUGAAAUUCUCCCCAUUUCAUAUUAGGGCUCGAAAUUCAACCACUAAUCCCAAUUUUUGAAGAACCCUAUACCCAAAUGACCAAUUUCAAGCCCUAAUAACAAAUUAGGGAAGUUUUAGAUGAGCUUUUAUGCUCAAGGAUUUUGAGUUGAAGAAAUUGCCCCUUGCACUGUCAAAGAAAUUGAUAGGAAUACUGACUUGUCCUUGAAUUGCUACAAAUACAAAAAUACAGGGUCAAAAUUAACAGAAUUUAAACUAUAUGGUCAAAAGUGGUUAAAGUGCCAAACUACAAGGACCAAAAGUGACUUUUAGCCUUUUUGUUUAAAUAAGGAAAAAACUUACCUAUUAAAUCCUUGGAAUCUAUACAAAAUUGAAACACAGUUAAUCAGCAUUGAAUUGCAGCUAAUUUCUUAAACAAGGGUAUUAUAGGAAUUUAAAAAGUAUAACAUUUAAUCCAUUGAGCUUGAUUAGGAAUCUUGAUGAGUUGGAUCCUAGUUAUAUAGUUUCUCUUAUAAAAAUCGGGUUUUAUUUAUAGACAAAUAAAACAAUGGGUUGUAGGUAAGAAAAUAUUAAUUUGAAGGGAAAGUGUCACAUCCUGGGAUCGGCUCCGCCGUAGCACGAUAUUGUCCGCUUUGGGCCCCCCUCUCUGCCCGCACGGUUUUGUUUCUGGGAGCUCACGAGCAACUUCCCAGUGGGUCACCCAUCCUGGGAUUGCUCUGGCCCCCAACUCGCUUAACUUCGGAAUUCCUAUGACUCCGAAGCCAGUGAGCUCCCAAAAGGCCUCGUGCUAGAUGGAUGCGGGUGUGUACAUAUAAGACACAUCACCCCCUCUCCGUUGGUUGAUGUGGGAUCUUACAGAAAGAGUCAAAUUUACUAAAUUAAUAAAGCAUAAAUUGGAAAGGGAAAAGAUCUAGAGGAUGCAUUGUAGGAUUGCUCAUGCCAAUAAUUGCACCCUCUCGAUAUUGAAAAACCUAUUGUGUAUUAUUAUCUUCAAUCAUGAAUGAUGCACCUAAAACCCAAGUGUCCCAAGCCAACCAUUGCGCUCAUACCACUUGUUGCAGUACACAUUCACCCGUUUUUAAAGAAAGAAAUUCUACCAAUCGAUAUUGUCUCAAAUUUAAUCACAUAGGUCUAUUAUGGUUAACCAUAUGUACUUUUAUCGGCCAUAUAGAGGUACCUUUUUCCAACGUGCAACAAUUGUAUUUGAUUCACAAUUAUGUCUGAUAUACAUCACAUCAUGCCACUUGCCUCAAAUGAAUUUAAUUGAGUGAGGCAAUGGGAAGUAAUUAAGCUCUAUAUUGGUGGGUGGAGUGUUACUUCUGGAACCCUCAUCAUUCGUCCAUACAAGGGAACAAUUCCCUUCCUUCUAUAAAAUGGUGAAGCCAGUUGCUAUUGUUUGUUAGAGUUUUAGGAUCUGAGUGUUAGAUUUUGUGAGAAGAGAGAAGAGAAUUUAGUGAAAACUUCCAAUACUGCUCUGCUAUACGUGUAGCAGAGAGAACAUUCUGUUUUGUUAUAUAUUUUCAGUACAACAACACACACUUGGUGUGAGAAGAAAAAUGACUGUUAUGCACAGUACCAGCUGGAUGCUUUCCAUCAAAGUAAUCUCAGCCAUUCACUAUCUAACCAAUCAAGCUAUGACACCUGGACUAAGUAUAAAGAAAUACAACUAAGCAGAAAACAAGACUCUUAAUCCUGAAAUCAACUUAAGCACUUAUAAUUCAACACUCCCCUUUAAGUCUUGAGGUGAUUUCACUCCAAGCAUGCCUCUGAGAUAAUUGAAUCUGUCUUUGGCCAGAGGUUUGGUAAAAAUGUCAGCCAAUUGUUCAUUUGUAGGACAAUAUUCCAGAUUGAUUACCCCUUCUUGCAAUGCAUCCUUGAUGAAGUGAUACCUCCUGUCAAUAUGCUUUGUCUUCUGGUGGAAUACAGGGUUUUUAGUGAUUGCAAUUGCUGAGAUAUUAUCACAAUGCAAUGGAGUAGCUUCAGUUUGAAGCUCUCUAAAGUCUUCUAGCACAAAACGGAGCCAAAUAGCUUGAGUAGUAGCCUCAGCUGCACUGAUGUACUCAGCUUCUGCAGUAGACAGUGCAACACAGUUCUGUUUCACUGAGGCCCAAGAAAAUACUCCACUUCCAAAACUAAACGCAUACCCUGAUGUGCUCUUGCAAUCACCAACUGAUCCUCCCCAAUCACUGUCACAGUAACCAACUAGAAUUGAUCUUUUGCCUUUCACAUAUUCAAGACCAUAGUCCAGAGUUCCUUUGAUGUAUCUCAAAACCCUUUUAGCUGUUCCAUAGUGUCUAUUUGUAGGACAGUGCAUGAAUCUAGCUAGCAAGCUUGAGGCAUACAUGAUGUCUGGUCUUGUAGCAGUUAAGUACAGCAAGCUACCAACAAUGCUUCUGUAUUGUUCUUCAUUUGCAGCUCAACUCCCAUCAUCCUUAGCUAGUUUCUCAGUGGCAACAAGGGGUGUUGUCACAGGUUUGCACUCAGUCAAACCAAACUUGCUCAACAAGGUGCUAGCAUAUUUCUUUUGAUGUAGAAAUAUACUAGACUCAGUCUGAAUAACUCCCAUGCCAAGAAAGUGAUGAAGUAAGCCCAAAUCAGUCAUCUCAUACUUAGCCAUCAUGUCUUCUUUGAAUUCAGCCAACAAUGCUUGACUGCUCCCUGUAUACACAAUAUCGUCUACAUAGAUAGACACAAUUAGAAUCUCCUUAUCUCCCCUUACUUUGGUAUAUAAGGUUGUUUCACUUAAGCUUUUCACAAAACCACAUUGAGUGAAGUAGCUGUCUAUCUCUCCAUACCAAGCCCUUGGGGCUUGCUUCAGACCAUAAAGGGCUUUAUGCAAACGAUAAACCUUGUCUUCUUUACCUUUAAUUACAAAACCUUCAGGCUGACUGACAUAAACUUCCUCUUGCAGCACACCAUUAAGGAAAGCAGACUUCACAUCAAGCUGGAACAAUUUCCAAUCCUUUUGAGCAGCUAGAGCAAUAAGUGUUCUAAUGGUGUCCAAUCUGGCUAUAGGUGCAUAAGUCUCAUUAUAAUCCAGUCCAGGCUUCUGAGCAUACCCCUUAGCCACUAAUCUUGCUUUAUUCUUUUGCACUGAGCCAUCCAAAUUCAGCUUUGUCUUGUACACCCACUUAACUCCAAUCACUGGUUUUUCAGUUAGUCUAUCUACCAAUUCCCAUGUUUCAUUCUUUUCAAUCAUCUGCAGUUCAUCUUCCAUAGCCUUAAGCCAAGAUUCAUCCUGAGCAACAUCAGCAUAUUUUUCUGGUUCCAUGAUACACAAGUUACACUGAGCUAGAACAUCAUCUAGCCUUCUCCAUUUUAGAGGGGUGUGAUCAUAAGCUUGAGUUCUCCUUUCUUCACUGCUUAUAUCACCUGGAGUUGAUGAAAUGCUCUCUUGCAUAUCCAAAGUUUGAGGUGUACCAGUAGAAUUCUCAUUAGAACUGUCAGAUUUCAAGUCCAAAUCAACUUGGUUUUCAAUUGAGUAUGUUGUCAUAACUGAACCAUUUUUGUUUGUCCAAUGCCAAGCAUUUUCUUCAUCAAAUGUCACAUCCCUUGAUAGUAAAAGCUUGUUAGAAACAGGAUCAAAAACUCUAUAUCCUUUUUCACAAGUUGCAUAUCCCACAAACACUCCCUUUGUACUCUUAGGAUCCCGCUUGUGUCUCAAUUCAGUUGGCACAUGAACAUAACACAGAGAACCAAACACUUUCAGAUGUGCAAUUCCAGGCUUCCUUCCACUAUAUGCUUCGAAUGGAGUAAUGUUGUUGAGAGCUUUGGUAGGACAUCUGUUCAGCAAAUAGAUAGCUGUAUGCACAGCUUCUGCCCAUAGGAAAUAAGGCAUUCCCUUCUCAUGUAACAUUGAUUUUGCCAUCUCAAUGACAGUUCUAUUCUUCCUCUCAACUACUCCAUUCUGCUGAGGAGUAUAGGCCAUUGUAAGCUGCCUUUGAAUGCCAUUAGCUUCACAAAACUCCAAAAAAUCAGUAGACAUAAACUCUCCACCCCUGUCACUUCUUAUGCACUGAACCUUGUGUCCAGUUUGUAAUUCAGUCAUGGACUUGAACUUCUUGAAACAAAAGAAGGCUUUUGACUUGUUUCUCAAGAAGUAUACCCAAAUCAUUCUUGUGAAAUCAUCUAUAAUCAGCAUGAAAUAUCUGUUCCUUGCAACAGACUCAUUUCUCAUGGGACCACAGAGAUCCACAUGUAUUAGCACUAGUACUUUGCUUGCUCUUUGAGCUUGAUCUUUUGGAAAAACAUUUCUGUGCUGUUUUCCAAAUUGGCACCCGUCACACACACCACUUUGUUCUUCCAAUUUUGGUAAACCAUGUACCAUUUCUUUAUCACUUAGCUGCUUCAAUCCUCCAAAAUGCAGAUGACCAAAUCUCUUGUGCCAAAUCCAUGUGGAUUGAAGAAAACUAGUCUUCAUUAGUAACUGUUUUUCAGCUAGAAAAGAGACAGGAUAGCAUCUGUUACUCUUCAUUUGCACCUUUAUGAUGAGAUAAUCCAUGGAUGGGCUAUCAAAUACCCUGCACAUCCCUUCUCCAAACACUAGACAGUACCCAUGUUCAUCCAUCUGCCCAACACUUAGCAGAUUUUCUUUCAAUCCUGGCAGAUACAUUACUUCUCUGAUGUAUUUCCUGCCCUUUGCUGUAUCAAUACUCAGUGAGCCAAUACCAGCUACACUCACUAAUGCACCAGUUGGCAUUUGUACUCUCCCAGCUACAUUAGUUCUCACAUCAACCAGCAAAUCUAAAUUUCCUGUCAUAUGAUUGCUGCAGCCACUGUCAAUGUACCAUUCAUUGGUUUUGAUCUCAGUGGUUGAGCAAUUGGCAUAAAACAGGUUUCCUGUAACCUCCAUUUGAUUUACACAAUUAGCCUUCUGCACAUUUUUGCUCACUGUACAGUCUCUAGCAAGAUGUCCAACUCUGUCACAGUUAUAGCAUUUUGGUUUUCCCUUAUACCUGCACUCACCAAAAUGAUGCUUUGAACACACCUUGCAUUGAGGCUUUGUGUUUUCCUGAUUUGAGAACUGUGUUGAAGUGUGGUUCUGUGCAGAAUAAUUAUUCUGCUGUGUCUUGUCUUUUGCCUCCCAUGACUUCCCUUUAGAGUUCCAGCUUCUCUGUGACUUAGAUGAACCAGACUGAGAAGCAUUUUUGUUCUGACCCUUUGAAUUCACAGUGAAUGAGGCAAAUGCCUUCUCAGCUGUAUCAACACUAUGCAUUUCAAGCCUUUGCUCCCGACUCUUCAAAAUGGCAGUUACUUCCUGCAAAUCCACAGUUUCUAGUGUCUUUGUGUUUUCAAUCACAAUGCAUAUAGGGUCAUACUUCUUACUUAGACUAAUUAACACCUUCUGAACCUACCUCUCAUUUGACAGAACUUCACCAAAUGUUUUCAUUUGGUUAAUCAAUUCAGUUAGUCUAGUAAGAUAUUCAGAUAAGGUUUCACUAUCACGCAUCCUACUGUAUUCAAACUCACGUCUAAGGUUUUGAAGCUUUACCGAUCUAACAUGCUCUCCACCAUGAUAUUCUGAGUACAGCAGAUUCCAAGCCAUCUUUGCAGAGUCAGCAUUGGCAAUUCUGGGAAAAAUCUGAUCAGAAACAGCAUUUUGAAUGAUACCCAAGGCCUUCGCAUCCUUCAUGAGAAUCGCAGCUGUUUUCUCAUCAACUUCUUCUUCUGAACCAUCCUCAGAUUCCUGCUUCGUCUUUGAAUCUGGGAUUAAAAACCCCUUCUCUACCAAACCCCAUAAACCAUAUGAUCUGAAUAUGGUUACCAUCUUAAUCCUCCAAAAUUCAUAGUUCUCACCUGAGAAAAUGGGGAUUCUAGCCUCUGAACUUCCAGAUCCAGCCAUUACGAAUUUCAGAUUCGCCUGGAAACAAGAUGUUUUCAGAUUUGACCCUUGAUCGAGCUCAAUCAGCUUCGUGAGCUUAGAAUGAGCUCACCUCGAUCGAUUUUCUUCACAGAACAACGCCCAGCUUCAGAUAAUCAAACUUGGCUCUGAGGCCAUGUUAGAGUUUUAGGAUCUGAGUGUUAGAUAUUGUGAGAAGAGAGAAGAGAAUUUAGUGAAAAUUUCCAAUACUGCUCUGCUAUACGUGUAGCAGAGAGAACAUUCUCUUUUGCUAUAUAUUUUCAGUACAACAACACACACUUGGUGUGAGAAGAAAAAUGACUGUUAUGCACAGUACCAGCUGGAUGCUUUCCAUCAAAGUAAUCUCAGCCAUUCACUAUCUAACCAAUCAAGCUAUGACACCUGGACUAAGUAUAAAGAAAUACAACUAAGCAGAAAACAAGACUCUUAAUCCUGAAAUCAACUUAAGCACUUAUAAUUCAACAUUGUUACCAUAAGAGCCAGCUCCGACUUUCUUUAAUUUCAGUCCUAACGGGGUUUCAUCUUCCACUCAUCUUUGCUCUUCUCAGUGUAAGCUCUGCAAUUUGAUUAACUUUCCCAUUAUCUCUCACUGUACUCUAUAUAAAGGAAUAAGUGUCGUCCACUAAUUAAUUACACUUUGUGAGAUUUGAUUUUAAUUAGAGUUCGAAUUGAUGUUGCAGCUAGCAGCGGUGGCACUGGCAAACCAUGCUGCUCAACCAGCACCUCAACUUUACUGGAACUCCGUCCUGCCAAACACACAAAUGCCAAGAGCUAUCAGUGAACUUCUGCAUCCUGGUUUGUGUUGAAUAAAUAUAGUAUGUUACUGGAGUACGUAUGGCAACAUAUUCACAAAUGUGUCACGUAUUUUCCAAUAUGACGUUGAUAUAUAAUUGCAGACUCCACAAACGAAGAAAAGAGCACAAAUGUCAUGAAUGCUGUUGGGAAUGGAAAGCCAAUUGACCACAAGGGCAACCUGAAAAUACUGUACUACCACAGCUUGCACGACGCCCAUUUUCUUACAAGAGUGAUGAUCGUCCCACUGACAAUCAACUCCAUUAUAAAAACGUAGCUAUUUUCUUCUUGGAGAAGGACAUGCGCCCUGGCACAACAAUGAGCUUCCAAUUCCCUAGAAAUUCAAACACGGCUACUUUCCUGCCACCAGAAAGAGCUCAAUCGAUCCCCUUCUCCUCUAACAAACUACCAGAAAUUUUCAACCAUUUUUCAGUGAAGCCAACAUCUGUGGAAGCCAAAACAAUUAAGCAAACAAUCGAAGAGUGUGAGGCUCCAGGCAUUAAGGGAGAGGAAAUAUAUUGCGCCACAUCUUUAGAAUCAAUGGUUGAUUUUAGCACUUCGAAUUUUCGAACAAGAAACGUUCAAGCAAUCUCGACAGAGGUAUUGGAAAAAGGUGCCACCAUGUCCAUGCACAAGCAUACAACAAUGCCGGGACUGAAGAAGUUGGCAGGUGACAAAGUCGUUGUGUGUCAUAAGCAGAACUAUCCCUAUGCUGUGUUUUACUGCCAUGUAAUAAAACCAACAGCAGCUUAUGUUCUCUCCCUGAAAGGCGAUGAUGGGGUGAAGAUUAAAGCAGUAGCCAUCUGCCAUCUAGACACAUCAGAAUGGAACCCAAAGCAUUUGGCCUUCCAAAUCCUCAAAGUUAAGCCCGGAACAAUUCCCAUCUGCCAUUUCCUUCCCACUGAUCAUAGUGUCUGGGUUCCGAACCACAAAUCUGCAUGAUCAUCACUUAGCACUGUACGUAUAAUAAGCUUGCACCCCUGUAUAAUUAUCUCCCUACUCUACUUAUUUCUGCCUCUUCAUGUGGUGUAAGAUAUAUGAUGAGAUGAAGUUUUUGGGAUUAGUGGUCGGGUUGCCUUAAAAACACAGAUUACAGAAACUGCUUGAACUUAACCCGAUCAUGUUUUCUCUUGUACUCGUAAAGCAUGCUGUUGUGGUUCUACUUAAUUUCGUUCUCCCCAAUGUUUGAGUGUUUAAUUGUUACGUUGGAUAAUGCUUGUAGUUAGAGAAGCCUUCAUUUAUAUCAAAGUCCUCAACUUGUAAAGAUAUCAAUGGUCCUAGUGCUGCCACGUGUAAGAAGAUUGAAGAAUAAAGCUGUUGAGAUAUUGUUAGACCUGUUAUGCAGUUUAGGAAAACUGUUAGUAUUGAUAAGAGAAGGUUAGAGAUGUUAGAGAGGUUAGAAAACACGUGAACAAGGCUUUAACUCAGCUGAUAUAAAGUCUGUAGUUGUGCUCAGUUGAACUUAAUGAGAAAUACAACAAGUCUCUUCUCUAUCUCUGAAAUUCUCUCUGCUCUCUCUGCUUUACUUCUUUUGUCUCUGCUCUACAUUUUUUUUCAAUCUUCCUAUCUUAACAAAACUAUCAAGAAUUAAUGCAUCCAGAAACAUAUAUACCAAGACGCAAAACAACAUAUUUUUCAUGCUCUGUCUGUAACACCAAAGCAAACUUCCUUUAUCACAAAAGGAUCAAAUUCCAGUACUAAUCUAAUCCAUCAUGUAAAGCAUACAAUCUACAAGUGCCUCCCUUAAUUUGUCCAUUGGAUAUAUAUGUCACUUUUUGGUAAUUUGGUAUAGCAGCACCACGUAGUCUUGAAAUAGUAGUGCGGCUAUACCAAAUAUACCAUUUGCCCCUGCAUUUAACAGAAAAGUAAACAAAAUUGACGGUAGAACUAUUUGUCCUAACGAAACUGCAGUUGAAAGACCAUGAGAACGAUUUUGAAAAUUGAGGGACUCAAAUGAAAAUUGGGUCUAAGUUCAAGAACCAAUAAAACGAUUAACCCAUAGAUUUUGGAUCCAGUACCACAUCCCAAAGAGAAAACCACAAGUUUGCAAGCAAGUUUGUCCAUAAUAACACUACGUACAGUAUGGGCAGUGCGCUAGACUCAUCUCACUUUCUCAACCUAUCCUAUAGUUGUCUAAAAGAGUUUCUAAUUUAAUGUACUGAGAUUUACGAAAGAAAUAUCAGAGAAACAAUUUUCAGGCAAUAAAAAAAUGUCUUGGCAAGAAAAUGUACAAUUUGUUACAUAACUUAUUAAAUAUGAACAGUUGAAAGAAAAAAGAAUCUGGAUGAGGGAUUUGCAAAUUCCUAUGGCCCAAUUACCUUUUUUUCUUUGUUGUUUUUUUUUUUUUUUUUUUGGUUCUUUUGAUCCAGUAGCAUAUUCCAAAGAAUGAAAACCACAGGCAUGCAAUGCAAGCUCUUUUCCCACGUUUUCCUCUGUUUUUCUCCUAUCAUGGAAGUGAUUAAAACACACCUCUAAGCUUGUUUUGCGUUUGGUAGCCGAGUGUAAAAGCUCAAUGCAAGAUAGUUUGAGGUAGAAUUUUCUCCUAUUUUAUUAGGACAAUGAUAAUUAAAAAAAAGUGUGAUUCAUUGAAUAUUUGCGGGGUUUUGUUCAGACCUGACAAAGUUCUAAGUCAACACAUCAAAUUCCUUUUUCCAACAUGCAACAAUUGUAUUUGAUUCCCAAUUUUUUCUGAUAUACAUCACAUCAUGCCACUUGCAUCAAAUGAAUUUAAUUGAGUGAGGCAAUGGGAAGUAAUUAAGCUCUGUAUUCGUGGGUGGAGUGUUACUUCUGGAACCCUAAUAAUUCGUCCCUACAGGACUCUAGAACUCUCAAACUUCUUACAAGGACUACUUAACUCUAUAGCUUAAUGCAUAUAGCAUAUAUAUGCAAACACAAUUAGAAAUUCUACAACAGAAGCAAGAUCAAUCUCACUAUGCCUUCUAAACAAACAAACAAAUAAAACAAGCAUAUUAAUUGCUUUAAUCACUCUACUAACAUCAACACAGCACACUUAGUUUACUAACAGAUGAUAUAGAAAGGAAAAAAAAGGACCAAUAGGGAGAAAAUGGUGAACUAAGGAGAGACUAAUACUUCUGGUCCUUAGAAGGCAUAACAGAAAUAAUAGAGCACACUGCUUGAAUGCAAGUCAGUAUUAGGAGCAAAACAGCUGCAAUGAAAGAAAUAGUUGCCCAAGGUGUAUUGAAAUAAUGUUGCCUCAAAUUUGCCUUCCAUUUGUUCCAAGGCUUUCUGCAGUAGCUAUUAAGGCGCUCAGAAAGAAUAGCAAAGUAGAAGCUUUCACGAUACACUGCAAUUCCUUUUCCGAGGUUGUUAAUCAGAGUGCACACCUCAUUGUAGUCACCAAGCAUAUUUUUGACAAUCCCAUCCUUCAGAAGGAACUCCACAUCCUUUUCGGUGUUCACAAACUCAUCCAUGAGUGAAACAUAAUCACUUAUGUAAUUCUUACGGCAAUGGCACUAUUCAAAGGCAAUGAGGUUACGGAGUGUGAGCUCUGUGUAAUCGUGUAUUUUUAGUUUUGGAAUUUCUAGAAUCCCAUCGUUGAAUUGUGUUAACGCAGCUUUCCUUUCCUAGCCUACACGGAAGUCAACUUCACAAUCUCCUCCUAGCAAUUAGUCUUUCCUGCUGUAAAUCAGAUUUCCUACUGUAAAUCGGAUUGUAUUCAUGUCUAUAUUAUUUCCUACUUUAAGUAGAUAUCUUGUACUAGUAUAAAUAGGGACUUUGUGUAAUCUGUUAAAUACAAGGAAAUAUAUACUCUGCAUGGUAUCAGCCUAACCUAGGGUUCUCUCUCUCUCCCUUAUUCGAUCCUCUUCUCCUUUAGGUCCACCUCAUGGCUUUGUCUGAAUCCACCAUCUCCCUCCCAAGCCCCAACUCUUCUAUUUUAUCAAGCUUAUUGACUCCAACUAUCUUCUUUGGCUCCGCCAACUCAAACCCUUUUUAGUCGGCCAUGACCUCUGGAAAUUUAUCGAUGGCAUUCAUAAACAACCUUCUGCCCACACCUCCACCUCUACCACCGCAACACCCACAACCACCACCACUCUUACCCAAAUCAAUCAUGCCCAUGCUCAGUGGUACCAACAAGACCAACUCAUUGUUAGCUACAUCACCAAUACACUCUCUGAGUCCAUUCUCUUUCUCACUGUUGGUUGCACCUCUGCCCGGGAUCUCUGGGAGUGUCUCCAACGCCACUUCUCUCAAUCCAGUAUGGCCAGUGAAUCUACUCUUCGUUUUAAACUCAUGGAUUUGCAAAAAGGCUCUGAACCCACUUAUGCUUACAUUCGUCAUGCUAAGUCCUUUGCCGAUUCACUGGCUGCCAUCAAUGAACCUGUCUCCCCAAAAGAACUUGUCACUACUGUGCUUUGGGGUUUAAGACCCUAUUGCAACAUCCUCGUCACAGCAAUUCUCAAUUUCCCUCUGCUUCCUAACUUUGCUAAUCUUCGUGCUCGUUUGUUAGCAUUUGACGCACAGACUCCUUGAAUCUCUCCUGAUCAAAACACAGCGCAAAUGGCCACCCAAUCCUCUCCUCACACCACCGGUCAUACUUCCUUCCCUUCUCACCGUGGUGGUGGCUCUUCCAACAACAGGCGUGGUGGCCUCGGUGGCUGGCGCAAUAGCGGCCGGGGUGGCUGGCGCAGCUUCUCAUCUUCCUGGAGCAACCCGUGGAAUGGCUUCCAGCAGCUCCAAUGACCUAAUCAACCAUGGCCUCCUUUUGCUCCAAGUUCUGGAUCUCAAAGCAACUGGCCUUCCUUUCAGCCUCCUUGGGCCUAAUCUGCCGCUUCUAUCAAACACUUUGCCCGGCCCAACUCAGCUCCUGGUGUCUUGGGACCCGCUUGGUGCACUACCUGCAAUACCAAUCACAUACUACUACAAUAUGUCCUCAUCGCUACAAUGGCCCAGAAUCCUUUCUUUGCUAGGGCUCAAUUCAUGUAGCCACCUGACUCUACUUGGUACCCUGACACAAGUACCACUCAUCAUAUGAUUGGUAGUCCUUCUAAUCUCCAAAAUCAAUCCUUCUAAUCUCCAAAAUCAACAGCCAUAUCAGGUUCAUAAUUCUGUAUUUCUUGGUAAUGGAGAUUCUCUCCCUAUCUCUCAUACUAGCUCUCUCUUUUGUCUUCCAUCUCUUCGUACUAAUCUUCUUUUUGUUGCCCAUUUUACUUGUGAUAAUUUAGUUUUCUUUGUCUUUACUCUUGACUUUUAUCAAAUCUAUGACUUAUGUACUGGUUCGUUACUCUUUCAGGGCCCUUCUAAAGAUGGUCUUUACCCACUUUCCAUCUCCUCUCACUCAUCCAUAGUCCCCCAUGCCCUUACCACCGUGCACUCUCCUGCUUGGCAUCAUUGCCUUGGCCAUCCAUUCCAUCGUGUGCUCUCUCAUUUAGCGCCAUCUCUAGGCUUUAAAGUUUCUCAUGCUUUCUGUAAGGAUUGUGCACUUAGCAAAUCCACCAAACUGUCAUUUCUUAGUAAUAAAACCUUUGCCCCAUCUCCCUUUUAUUUAAUUCACUCUGAUGUAUGGAUGUCCUCGGUCAUUUCUGUCACUGGUUAUCGCUAUUAUGUCUUGUUUACAGAUGACUUUUCUCGUUACUCCUGGAUCUAUCAUAUGCACCGUAAAAAUGAGGUCUUUUCUCACUUUCAAACCUUUCUUGCUAUGGUUAAAAAUCAAUUUCACACCACUGUACAAAUUCUUUAAAGUGACAAUGGCACUGAAUAUGUUAAUAAUGCUUUCUCUGAUCUUUGCAGUCAACUAGGCAUCCACCAACGUUUCACAUGUCCCCACACUCCCCAACAAAAUGGCCUAGCUGAACAUAAACACAGACACAUUGCCACCAUGAUCUGUCCCCGGUCAUUUAUUCAACCAUCUUGACCUUUUGCUUGAUCAUUUUCCACAAGCAACCGUCCACGUACCCCAAUAAUUUAAAAGGGCUGAUGAUCUUUAAUUUGGUGAAAGCUUCUAUCUACCUACCGUGCUAUAUAUGAGCUAUGCAAUCGUGACCGUGUUACAUGACGUCCCAAUGUCGUAGGGAUAAAAAAAUAAUAGUCAUGGUUUUCUUAUUAAUGUCAAUACAUUCAUAGCAAAGAGCUUGUAGCUCUAGUGGUUAAGAGCAAUUACCCAUGCACUUGAGAUAUUUUGUGUUUAAAUCCCCUCUUCCCCAAUAUUUCUUGUAUAAAAAUAAAAAUAACAAUAAUAAUGACAUUAAUGUUGUAUUCUAUAAAGUGUUGGACAUGUUUUAUACCCCUUUCUUGCAAAUUACAGUUUGCCACGUGUACAAAAAUAAUAGAUAAGUGUUGGACAUCAAGAGCACUUACAUAUAGGUUUAAUAGGUAAGUUUUGAAUAUUUCUGUAUUUAGCUUUAAAUAUUGAAAAUCAACCUAUUAGCAUAUUAAAGAUUUGUCCAUAUUCGACGUACAUUCUCUUAUUUUUCUCUCAUUGAAGUAAAUACAAAACUAAGCACAUAGUGGGAAAGUGCGUCACGAUUAGGGGUGGGUUUAGUCUAGGUUGGUUCAUUUUUGGGCUCAAUUUGAACACCGAACUGUAAGCUUCGGUUUGGCUAUUUUGGAAACCGAAACCAAACCAUAAUUGAUGAAAACCGACCACUUCGAUUACCUUCUGGUCUUCCAACCAGAAGAAAACUCAAAACUUUAACCAUACCAAGUGCAACAGAAUUACACCAGGCUGGAUUCAAGUUUAUGAUGGUUAAAGAUAAAAACUUAUUUGACAUACAAUUUGAGAAUGGAAUCCUCAAAAUUCCACACCUGCGAAUACGGGGUUUAACAGAAAUUUUCUUCCGCAAUCUUAUUGCCUAUGAGCAGUGUGAGCUUCAUGAUCAUUACAUCAACGACUAUGUCUUCAUCAUGGACCGCCUGGUCGACAGUGCCAGGGAUGUGGAAUUGCUUGUGAAGAGUGGAAUUCUUGAAUCUAUGCUACCGGACAGCGAGGCAGCAGGGGAAUUUAUUAAUUCUCUUGACUUGGGGCCUAUUUUAGGCAAGCUUGAAACAAGACUAUUUCAGUUCACCAUGGGCUGGCCUGUCUAUUAUUGUAGCCGCUAUACUAGUUGUGCUCACAUUUAUUCAAACAGUGUGCUCCGUAAUGGCGCUGUAGGUUCUUCAUUUCCUCAAUUUCAUGUUUAGUGGUUGCAGAUUUGUUGCUCAUGUACGUGUUUAUCUAAAGUUAAAUAAGAGUGAUUGACUGGAUUGACUGUUAGUCUGUUAGUUUGUUUUUCUGGGGUUUUUCCCCCCUGUUCGUCAAAAAAAAAAAUAAAAGAGUGAUGGCUUGUGCCUAUGAAAAUUACUUAGGAGUAUGCUCCACAGAGCCAAAAUAAAUAAACUAGGGAAGUGGAGGUUCUUCUGUUUGUAUAUAAAUGAGCAAUUCAAACUCUCAGUGCCAAGGGAGUUACCCUUGAUACAUUUGUUAAAAAUUAUAUAUUUGGUCUUACAUCAAACAAAUAAUUUGAAGGGCUUUUUUGACAACUGCUGACAGCGUUUGGCAGAAAAGUUUAGAAGCGCUUCUACGCUUCUAGAUCAUAAAAGUGCUUUACCAAAAAGCACUUAGAUUUCUUAUGAAAAUUUCAACAUUUUUAUAAUAAAAGCGCUUGCUAGAAGCACUUAUAAGCAGAAGUGCUUCAUAGAGAAGCAGUCCCAAACGAGCUUGAUUUUCAAAUGUGCUGCUUAAGAAGAAAUUUAAUACGUUUUGAAAACAAAAAAAAAUACGAAAUUUAAUACGUUUGUUUUACAAAUUGUAUUAAUUGUUAUCAAUAAUACUUGUGCACACCCACAACAUACUUCUUUCUUUCUUUAUUUUCCUUCAGUACAGUUCUGCCUUUCUUUAAUUAUUUUUAACGAAUGCAAAGAGUUUGUCACAAAAUCAAGGAUUGAAAAAAAAAGAGAGUAAAUUAUGUGCUAGAGAAACUUUCCUGCAGAAAUUGAAGAACAACUCUAGUUUCUCUCUUUCGCCUUGUACUCCCGCACUGAGGUUAGUAUUGUUAUAAUGUGCAGAUUAUACGGUCACUCUUGUAUAAUGGCGAGAAGGCUCUAAUUAUAUUUUUGAACCUCUUUGACAGGACCCGCCCCGAAUUUCCCGAAACCCAAGACGAAUUCUGUGGAAAUUCCCUACAUCACCCCGAUGUUGGGCCCACUUCUAAAACUAUAUCAUUUUUCCUAAAAAGGAAUAAGGGCACGAGACUUUCUACCGAAAUUUCGGCAGAGUCUCUCCUGUAAAUUGAACAUUUCCCAAAAUUUCAACCUGCAUAAAACACAUUUUAUAUUACCCAACUGGCAGCAUGCACAAAAUAAUAACAUGCAAUUCACAUAAACGGCCUCUGGCCCUCCGGUAAUUCAGAGCAAUGCAAACUAGCAACUCUAAACCUAAUAAAACAACAUAAGUAACAUUUAGCCAGCGGCUGCACCCAGGCACUACCCUAGGCUACCUACGUACCCUUACUAAGGGAUCAAGCCACACGUAGUUCUUUCAUACAAAAUUUCCAAAUCCAUCAACAUGCAAUCAAUUACAGAAUCCCAAACAAAAUCUUUCUCAAACAUCAUUAGUUCCCAACUCAGUAUAAUAAUCCUUAAUUCAUCUCUGUAAUAAUCACAAUAUCUCCCCAUACGCCGGAACUACCAACACCACGUAUGGAGCCUGCCUGUACGCCAGAUAACCAACGACACGUGGGACCUCAUCAUCAUAUCACAUAAUCUCCCCAUACGCCGAAACUACCAACACCACGUAUGGGGUCUGUCAACACGCCGGAUAACCUACGACGUGUGACCUCAACAUCAAAUCACAAUAUCUCCCCAUACACCGGAACUACCUACGCCACGUAUGGGGUCUGUCCACAUGCCGGAUAACCUACGACACGUGGGACCUCAUCAUCAUAUCACAUAAUAUAUUAACGAUCAAGAAAUAUCACUACGGUCAUUUAAUCCUCCUGGGAAGGUAAAACUAUCUCAGGAGACUCACGGUCAACCAAGGGUCAAACUACCUCAUACUUGGACAAACGAGCCCACGGAGCCCACAACCUCCGUUUUACUAUCCAAGAGUUCCUAUAGGUUCUACAAGGUUUAGGAUACACGGCUUGCAAGUUUGGUCAAGAUCAGACGGUCGGAUCGCUCACGAUAGGACGGUUACUGCAAACCUAGCCCUAGGGUUGGCAUUUUCGGAGUAUCCGAAACUCCGUUUUACGAUCUGUCGAAUCAUAGACGAUCCUAAGGAUUUGCAGACUAACUAUAAUAAAUUCAAGACCAUCCAACGGUCUAAACCUAUCGAACCCGGAUAACGCGCAAUAGGCAAUAUCCAAAUUGAAAUCCGAGCACACCUACGCACUCGUGAGGACUAGGAGAUUACAUCGGGACAUAGUGCCCUUUUUCUACAGUGCCCAUGAGCCGCCGCACGCACCAGCAACGCGUGGGUGCCCAAAGCGAUUAUGCAUCGCCAAAAAAUCUCAAAACCACGGCUCAAGACUCCUACCCUAGGUAUAACACCCUAUUUGGAACCACUUUUGUUCUUGGACCUACCCCAAAAACUGAUCAGAAGUGGCCGGAAUGGCUGAAAUGUAAUUCAAAAAUCAAGCUACCAACGCUCAAAAUCGAUGCAAUCCUACCCAACCAUCAACUAGAUUAUGAAGAAUGGAUAAAUUUCCAUACCUUGAUCGCCAACAAUGGCGGCCGGAGGAGAGAGAUCUGAUCCGGCGAAGUUCGAGUGAAAACGGCCAAAAAUCAUCUUUUUCAGGCGGCUGGAGGGCGACCGAUGUCAGGGAAGGGCAGGGUCGUGACGCUAAGGCUGAGCCUGUCCUUUUGGCACCGGUCCCUUCCGCAGCCGUGUCCGGUGGCUGGAGUUUCGAAGAGAGAGAGAGAGAGAGAGAGAGAGAGAGAGAGAGAAAUCUGAUUUUUAUCAAACCUUUUUGCCAAAAUUACGGUUAUGCCACUGAGGGUAUUUUGAUAGUAUCUCUCUCGUUACAACUUCGAUUCGAGCCCACCACGUGUGUACGGACUCAUCUAACUGUGUUGUACGCAACGGUAUAGUCGAAAUUCCCAAAUUAUUUCCUUGUCAAAAAGUCAACUUUAAACAUUAUAAAAUAUUUUAGGGAAAAAAUGGUAUUUUCUCUCAAUAAAUUAGUAACUAAUUUAUUUAGGACUGGGUCAUUAUACUCUUUUUCGCUUCAAUGGAUGGGAAAAAAUUUUAUGUAAUAUCCCACAUCGACCAACGAAGAGGGGGCGAUGUGUCUUAUAUGUACAUGCCCGCCUCCAUCUAGCAUAAGGCCUUUUGGAAGCUCACUGGCUUCAGAGUCAUGGGAACUCCGAAGUUAAGCGAGUUGGGGGCUAGAGCAAUCCCAGGAUGAGUAACCCACUGGGAAGUUGCUCGUGAGCUUCGAGAAACAAAACCGUGAGGGCAGAGAGAGGGGCCCAAAGCGGACAAUAAGGCCUCGUGCUAGAUGGAGGCGGGCAUGUACAUAUAAGGCACAUCACUCUCUCUCCGUUGGUCGAUGUGGAAUGUUAGAAUGGAAUUGUUACCUUUGGUGUGGAGGUGUUCUAUCAUUUGAGCAAGAAAUUCCCACAUAUUCUUCAACUAUUUUUCAAGCAUGCAUAUUCCUCCCUAUCAAUCUUUGGUUUCUUCCUUUACUGUGCAUAGUAAGGAUCCAGUCAGGGACGGACCGUCGCUAUGACUAUCCUGGGCUAUAGCCCAGGCAAAUUAUUUUUUUUUCUAGUCUAAAAUAGCAAUCCCACCGCUUGCUGUAGUACUUGUUCAGUUCGUCACAAACAUGAGCAUAAUAGAAGUUAUCAACAUCUAUAUAGGAACCCCAAUGAAAAGGCUGUUAACUAAUAAUGAAGUUAACCCGUCAAUUUUUCCGCAUAUCAGAUAUCUCUCAGAAUAUGCGAUUCCAUAUUCAAUAAGCCACUCCACAUGCCCUGAGGUUUUCAUCAAACCACCCAUUAAGGAAACAUACUGACUCAUGUAAUUAUCAUUACUCAUCGGGUAAUGCAAUUGUUCAAAGGCAAGGACAUUUCUCAUUAUUUAUGUAGCGAACCCCAAUGGAAAUGGUGGGAUCUUCAGAACCCCAUCGGUGCUACUGAAUUGUAUGUCAAAUAUGUUUUCACCUUGUCACGCCUCAAACUUGACUCCAGCGUGCUGUAAUUCUGUCAAGCUGGGUAUGGAUGAUGGGAGUUUGAUGCAGGAGCAUAGGGGUGGAUCAAGAUAGAUAUUUACUAUUUAAUUAGUUAUUUCAUGAUAUAUUGUUAUUUUCUUAUUUAGGUAGUUUUAUGAUAUCUUUUAUUAUUUAUGUGUGAUUUUAUAAUUAAUUAGUAUACUUUUGGACCAAGUAGCCUUGGUGCUCAAGUCUUGUAAAGCCUAUAAAUAAGGCUAAUGUAAUAGUUGUAGAAUAGAUGUCGAUGAUUAAUAAAAUCGUUUAUUUGUGGCAUGGAUUUGCUACGAUAUAUGUGAGUUUGCACUAGCCCUAGAUUUCAGUGCUCGUGUAUGUGGUUGGUGACCUGUGUCCGGAUCCCGAUCCCCAUCAAUUGGUAUCAGAGCUAUGGCUCAAGAUCUGCUAUAUCGGGGAGGUUUUUGGAUGGAGGGUCGUUUUAACAACUACAACGACAUGGAGGAAAUUAGGAGGAUGCUACGGCAACUUAUGGAACACAUUGCUCGCAUUGAAGCUCGAACCCAGAUAGGUAAGAGUUCUGACGGGGAGGGAUGUGUGAACCCUUAUCUGAACCGAGUAGCUCGCAUCGACACUCUAAGCCGUGAGAGUCUCGACGGGGAGUACGAGGGAGAUAGCCCUUUUCAUUAUUGUGCUCCGCUGUGUGAGUCAAGUGAAGAGGGGCACGGUUAUUCUCAUUGUGUCUUUGAAGGUAUAAAUGAAUUUAGUAAUUUUGGUGCAUCUUGUUAUUCAUCAAAGUUAUUAAAUUUGGAUUUACCUCCAUUAUUUGAUCCUUGCAAUUGUGAAAAUUGCAAUAAAAAUUGUUUGGGUGUUCAAAGCAAUUUUGAUAAGCAAUUUAUUGACCAGAACAGUGAAGAGAUGAGAAUUGAGAAAACUUUCGAAGAUAUUAUUGAUUUUAUGGGCAUUAAUAUUUUCACUUGGAAGGUUGCCAAAAAUCUGGUUGAUUUUGUCAAUCGGUUGAAGAUUCUAGAGAGAAACAUUUGCAUUGCUAGAGGGAGUAAGAAGUCAAGAAUAACGAAAUAUUCCAAAUAUCUUUUUAUUUGGAAAGGAAGGUUUCAAUUGGAUGCUAAAAGAUCCAAAAUUAAUAUGCAGCAAUUGAAGAUUCUACUCGGAUUUUCCUUAAUCAAAGGCUUGAAUUCGAGGACGAAUUCUUUCCAACUAUGGGAGUCUGAUGCAGGAGCAUAGGGGUGGAUCAAGAUAGAUAUUUACUAUUUAAUUUGUUAUUUCAUGAUAUAUUGUUAUUUUCUUAUUUAGGUAGUUUUAUGAUAUCUUUUAUUAUUUAUGUGUGAUUUUAUAAUUAAUUAGUUUACUUUUGGACCAAGUAGCCUUGGUGCUCAAGUCUUGUAAAGCCUAUAAAUAAGGCUAAUGUAAUAGUUGUAGAAUAGAUGUCGAUGAUUAAUAAAAUCGUUUAUUUGUGGCAUGGAUUUGCUACAAUAUAUGUGAGUUUGCACUAACCCUUGAUUUCGGUGCUCGUGUAUGUGGUUGGUGACCUGUGUCCGGAUCCCGAUCCCCAUCAGAGUUCCCCUCCAGCUUUUGAUUCCAACGGUUGAUAGAGUUUAAAUAUUUUCCUGAAAAGAUCAAUAAUAUGUGCCACUGAUCUAAAAGUCUCCAAAUUGUCUUCCAAUUUGUCAACAGGCAAUAGAUGUUCGAAGAAACUGAAAGAAAUACAAAUUAUUGAAAGCCCCUCAGUAAUGCUGUUAUUGUCAGCAUUAGCAGGGAGUGUAAUUUUCUGUGGGUCGAAAAGAUCCUCGAGAAUGAAGAAUGGCAACUGAUUUUCAAGCAACCACGUAUCUGUCCAUGCAUCUUGCAACAUACCUGGUUUGUCAAAUAUGCGGUCAUUUUCGUCCCAAAAUUUGAAGUAGUCCUUCAAUAAGGGCUCAAUAACGAAGGCGGCGCCCACUAGAAUGAUUGUUACAAAUUCAUCACUGCUAAACUUGAUGGGUUCUCCAUAACAACGUCUCAAUCUUGCUUCGUGGUCCUUUAUUUUCUUAAUAUAAUCCUCCAAACUCACAUUGGUCCGACCUAUAAAAUCUUGCAGGUAUCUCUGUUUGUUCUCUUCCAAUACGACAUUCAAGCCUUCCUUUCCAUGGUGAAGUGGACCUAUAGAGACCGACUGCCUGAGGUGUGCAGAGCUUUUCAUUCACACAUACGUAGAUAAAAUGUCUGGGGGCUCAGAGAGUGAUGAAUGUGCAACAGCUAAUGGGAGGGUUUAUAUUCCUGAAGUAAGAAAUGAGGAAACACCAGCAGUUGGGAUGAAGUUUGACUCGCUUGACCUCGUUUACAAUUUCUAUAAUAGAUAUGCAUUCUUGGCUGGCUUUGGUAUUCGACUUCAUUCUAGCUUUUGGGGGAAAAAUAAGAAAGAGAUUUUGAGGAAAGAAUUUGUAUGUUGCAAACAAGGUGCAUACAAGAAGGAUGAAACUCGGGAGAGAAAAAGACAACGGGGAAUAAGUAGAUGCAAUUGCAAAGCAAAGAUUGUGGUUGUGAAGACAAAUGGGAGCAAGAAGUAUACCAUUUCUCUUUUUGCAGAGGGACACAAUCAUAAGAUGACACCCUCAGAAAGAAUGCAUUUAUUGAGAUCACACCGUCAUAUUUCAGAUUCUACAAAAGUACUCACAAAACAGUUGGGUUCAGUUAAUAUUCCCAUUCAUCAGAAGGUAAGUAUAUUCGAGGUGCAAUCCGGAGGAAUGGAUAAAAUCGGUUUUAUCAAAAAAGAUAUCUACAAUCUUGAAUGUAGUGUGAAUGGGAAGCUGAGGAACCACGAUGUUGAACUAGUGACCGAGUAUUUUAUGGCUGAACAGAAAAAAAAUGAGGCUUUUUAUUUCAAGAUUGAGGGAGAUGGGCAUGACAGGUUUAGUCGAUGUUUUUGGGCAGAUGCAACUUCUAGACGGGCGUAUGGGUUUUAUGGAGAUGUUGUUGUAUUCGAUACCACAUUCAACACGAAUCGAUACGACUUGACAUUUGCACCAAUGUUGGGAGUUAAUAACCAUGGUCAGACAAUUGUCUUAGCAUGCGCAUUUUUGAGCAAGGAAACGACUGAGUCGUUUGUUUGGAUGUUUGAGGAGUUUAAGAAAGCCAUGCCAGGUGGGGAACCUAAAACGAUCAUUACAGAUCAAGAUGCGGCAAUGGCCAUAGCGAUUUCAAUAGCCUUCCCGAGUACAUUUCAUCGACUUUGCAUAUGGCACAUCACAUCAAAGUUCUCUGUUAAGUUACCACGUGACGCUUAUAAGGAGUAUUGGCCUGAAUUUCAGAAAGCCAUAUGGGAUACUGACAAUAAGGAUGAGUUUGAUGCAAAAUGGAAUAUUGUGGUUAUAAAGGCUGGUUUGACUGACCAUCCAUGGCUAAGUUCAAUGUUUGAUUUAAGGGAAUCUUGGGUUCCAGCCUACGCACGACAAUUUUUUGCCGCUGGAAUGUCAAGCAGCCAAAGAGCGGAAGGUUCUCAUGGUUUUUUCAAGCAAUACAUAUCAAGGAGAAAUUCGUUGAUGGAUUUCAUAAUACGAUUUGAGAGGGCAUUUUCUCAUCAACGUGAAAAAGAGUUAGUUGCUGAUCACGUAGAUGCAUUUGAAGUGGCUCAAUGUCUUCUACCGAUGCCAAUGAACAAACAAAUGGCUACCUUGUACACAAGGACAAUGUUUCAAAAGUUUGAGCAAGAACUAAUACAAAGUACAGCAUGUUUCCUAGAGCUCAAAACAGAGGAUGCAUGUAAAGUUGUGUUCAACGUGAGCGAAAGGAAAAAUUGGGAAACAAGAGUGGCAGAAGUCGUAUAUGUCAAAGAUUCUGACCACGCAUCGUGUAGCUGCAAAAGAUUUGAAUUUGUUGGAAUUAUUUGCAAGCACAUCCUAGCAUUGUUCAGAAGGGACCAGAUUGAAUAUAUGCCCGAUAAAUAUAUUUUGAAGAGGUGGAAGAAAACUGCGAAAUGUGGAUUGGUGUCAGAUGCAAAUGGCAACGAAAUUAAAGACUGUGCAGAUCCUGGCCUUCUAAUAAAGCGGAGUACAAUGUCUCGACUUGCUUCAAAUGUGGUUGAGGAUGCAUUAAUGAGUGAAGAAGGAUGUGAGCUACUGUCAGAGACUCUAAAAAGUUUGCAGGUGAAGUUGAAGUUGCUGAAGGAUGGACCAAGUAAUAACGAAGUUGGAGGGUCCAGCUCUCAAACACAAUAUAUGAAAGACCCUAAGAGAGUGAGGUGCAAAGGAAGGUCGAAAGGAAUAACGGGAGCAAAGGAAAAGGCAAUGAAGCGAGGGAUUAGACACUGUCGGGAGUGUGGACACAUUGGUCAUGAUAGAAGACAAUGCCCAGCCUUGAACACACCGUAAGAUGCUACCACUAUUUGUAAUAAUAUCUAAAAUAUGAAAAGGUAAAAUUUUUAUGUGCUUGUGUUUGAUGUUUAUGCAGGACAUCACCGUCGAACAAUGACAAAUCAACUCCAAUACAUCGUAGUGACCCAUUAUUCGACGAUUUUGACAAGAUGCACAGACCAACUGAAUGAUUGAUAUUUGUAUUAGACGAAAUGUGGUUGUUAUGAAGAUUAAUGAUCAAGUGAAGUUUUAUAGAUUCAGUUUUUGAAUGUUAUUGUGUUUUUGUUCAUGUCCACCGAUGAGCUCUUACUAUGUCCACUGGUAAUUGAAAUGAAAAUUUUCUUGGUUUCAUUCUUCCAAGACAUUUGGAGACAUGUUAAUUUUACGUCUUCUCCCUAUUUAUAAAUUUUCAUAGACAUUUGAUCAAGUUUGAAAUUUGUAGUUAUGUGAAGAAGCAAUGACUCUUACCAUGUAAAAUGGGCAGUUUAGGGUGAAAUUUGUUUUAACAGAGAUUCAUUUUUCAAUUCCUCAGGGUAAUGCAGCAAUUACAGCAGCCAGCUGUUGUUUCCAUUACCAGUAAUCAUUUCCAGCAGCAGCCACUUUUUCCGACUGGUUAUUAGGGGCACGAUUUUGUACACUUUUGUAAGUGAAGGAUACUCGAAGCACUUUGUUGGAACAGAGCAAAUAGAAACCAGCGGGUAAAAAAAAAACAUAACAUUGCAGCUAAUUACAUUUCGAUACAUAGGUGAAAAAUAUUAAAGGGUACACUAACUUACAUAAAUACUCAUAAUUCCACACACAAAAGAACAUUUGAUUGCAAAACAUAUUAUGUGCUUCCUCAUAGCAAUACCACGAUCUCCCCAACCAACUGAACAACGGUAGCCACAAUCACUGGGUCGUACUCGUCAGCUUCUUCUUAGCAGGUCUCACAUGCUUAUGGCCACUCAUAUCCCUAGUGAUAUACACGAAAUAAAUCUUCAGCAAUAUUUGGAAUUUUAUUAUAUAUAAAUAAACCAUAAACCAUUCAGUAAACAAUGUAUAGCACAUGUUAUGUAACUUAUGACUCACGUGUCAGUUUUUUUUUUAACACAUUAGUACUCCAGCUCUUUAAUGUAAAUGGACAUGAUAAGGAGCAUUUACUGAUUCCCGGCUUUCUAUGAUAUUGACUGCUUCUUGAAUAAUAUUUCCAUAUUUGCAAAAUAUAAUGUUAGACAUUAUAACACAUGAUGACUUGCAAUACAUAGUCCCAAUAAUUAUAUAUCAAGCAAAUGAAACUGAUAUUUGUGUUAUUUUAAGUUAGAUAAUGACAUUAAGGGAGUAUAUGUGCAAUACCACGGUCACCCUCAACCAACUGAACAGCGGUAGCCGCAAUCACUUAGUCGUAUCGGUCGGCUUCUUCCGAGCAGCUUUGACGUGCUUAUGCUCAUUCAUGUCACCCCCAUCGUCUAGUAUCUCUCUCACAGCAUCAGGGGACACAUAGUUCCAAUCAUAACUUGUAUGAGUAGUUGCCGCAAAUGCUCGGAAUUUGUCGAAUCCUUCGUUGAAUGCCAACUCCAGUUCAGUAUGGUGCUCUUCGCAUCGCAUAUGGUUCAUCAAACAACCUUUGAUUUCAUCAUUCAUUACUGUAUCCAACUCCUCAGCUUUCAGCUUCCUGCUAUGACUCAGCUUCAAGUACUUGUUCUUUUGGGAUAACGCUUUGUUCACCCUAAUGUUAAGAUCAGCCAAAAUUGCCUCGUCUUCAACACAUUUCUCGUGCCAUGAAUUGAUCAGUCUGGAAUUAUAAUCCAGCUUGCCACUGACUGCAUGUAUUGCCUGUAAUGGAUCAUCGGAGUCCCCCUCACUCCCAAAUGAUGUUGAAAAAGGAAGGGGUCGGCGAGUACAAUGUGGAAAUAGAACCUGCCACUCCAAUUUGUCAUCUUCGAUUGUGUUGUUGGCGCCUGAAGAGGUUGACAUGCUUGAAUAAUCCUCUUUGUUUUGGGAGGAUGAGGAUUGCAUAUGCAAUUUCGUUUGAGAAAGGGAACAUAGGUUUAUAGACCAACAUACCAAAGCUUGUGUGUAGUCAACAUAUGUACUUUUUGGCGGGAAUUUUUUAAAAAUAGGUGUUAGGUUUUGCUUUUCAAGCAUGUCAACCUCACACUCUCCUGACACCACUGCUAGUGGUUGAAACAAAGUCAAUGGAAGUGACAUCUACUUAGUUAACUCAACCAAACUAGUUAGGAUUAAACUUAGAUUGUAUCAGACCAAAAAAUAAUUUCUACUUUGUCAACCAAAUAUUUUUUGGCGGGAACCCUUUUCUUGGUAUUACUAUCACCCCUUUCAUAUAAAAUCUCCUUCCACACAAAACUCACUCCUCCACCGAAUCUGUCUCCAUCUACCGAUACUCUCUCAAGCAAACAAACUCAUUCCCCCCAAAGAAUGAGCAUAAGCACAACCAAGUUUGAUGUGAGCAUAAUAAACACCCCUCCAAACAAAGACCGGCUUCGACACGCAAGUGAGUCACCGGACAAGCAAUGUCACAUUGCUAGACAGAAUGACCAUUUUGUUGGAAGUUUUGAGUCUGAAAGAGUUGUUGCUUUUUGGAAGGAGAGGCAUCUUCAACUUGGUGAUGAAAUCCAAAGGGCAAGGGCACGUUUGGAAUUUGUGGAAGGCCAAAUUGAAGAUGACAAAAGGCAGGCCAAUCUGGAUAGGGCGAAGUUGUAGCGCAUGAAGCGUAGACACAAACGACUUCGGAGUGUAGCUGUUCAAAAAUACAAGAACUCAUCUAAUGUAGUGGAGUCAAAGAAGCGUGUGAUGCAAGCUGGAUUCGACUACUUCCGAUCCUAUGCAAAACUCGUCGUACCCGGGUUUGAUUGGUCAUCUAUUACCGUUUCCGACGUCACCAAAUAUACUCAGCAAGGGAAGUAACCAUUUUGGUUCUCGUGUUUUAGCAGAGGCAAAUAAGUGGAAUUGGAAUUUUGGUUACACUCUGCUUCAAAGCUAUUUUGAUGCUAACUACUAUGGAAGAUUUAAACCUUAAUAUUUUGAUGUCUUUAAUUACGAAAACAGAAGAUGCAAAGAGCUCAUCUACUUCAGCCAUAUGUUGCUGCCAUGUCCAUUUGUUUUUGAUCACUUAUCAGAUUUGGACAUGGUUGCAUCAUAUGCAAUGUUGCCUUUAUUUAUUAUAUGUUAGGACAAGGUUUAUGGAAAAGCUUUUGUGAGUGCGUUUGUGACAAGGUUAUGGAAUUAUUAUGUACACUUUAUAUAUUGUUUUUUGUACUGGUUCAUUUCCUACUAUUUCUUGCUUUCUUUAUAUUUUAUGUUUGUGGAAUCCCUCUCAAAGUUAACAUAUACUGUGAAAAAAAUAUUAUGCAACUGAUUAUAUAAUCACUCAUAUAGACUAGGACAAAUAUUCACUAAGGGUUUUAAACUUGCUUCACUUGUGUGAUGUUAUUGACAAAAAGUAUGGCAUUAUUUAUGUGAUUUGACAUGAUUGAAAAUAUAUUACUGAUUCCCAAUGCGGCGUCAUAUGGACAACGUAUUGAAUACCUGUGACGUGUUAAUAACUCAAGGUGCAGUUGCAUGUGGACAACUUCUUGAAUACCUCUGACGUGUUGAAAACUCUAGGUGCAGUUGCAUGUGGACAACUUAUUGAAUACGAACUGACGUCUUCAAAGCUCUAGGCGUAGUUGCAAUGAUGGCUUCAAAGCAUGUGCAAUUAUUUUUUAUGUACAUUAUUAUAACAAAACAUAUUAUUGUAUAUAGUGAAACUAAAUAUUGUAUUAUUAGAAAUUAUAUUUCGAAUAUUAUCCGAAAUAUACGUGUUAACGUGAAUUUGGGUUAAGAGGAAAGUGAGUUAUGUACAAAUAAUUUUCAUUUUCUCAUUUUCCGGGCAUUUUUUGGAUUUUCGUAGAAUUUAUUACCUAUGUCCACAGAUUGUUGCACUAAAAAAGCCAAAAUAAUAGCAAGAGGACACCUGGAGCGAUCUCAGCCCGUCACUGAUGACUACUUGCACAAGUGUACGUCAGUCAACAUGGCCACACCCUCCCAUUUUACCCUAAAUUAUUAUUUUAUUACUUUUCCUUACAAAAAUCAGAACUAAUUACACACAAAAUAAAAAAAUUAUCCGAAAAUUGCUACGAACUCAUUGACACUCCAUCUCCGUUGCUGAAUUCUCCGAUUCAUUGUUACGUAUUUGUAAAAUUAAUUCCCAACAUUAACGGGAGAUGCUUGUUGAAGUAGGUUAUUCAAGUUGAAGUUAACAAACAUCAAUACUUAGGGUUAAGAGGAAAGUGAGUUAUGUAACACAAUUUGGAUUAUUUCAUUGCGAGACGAAUGAUUUAUAGGUUCUCCUAGUUUUAUGACGUCACAAGUAGGCCGGAGUAAUUUUUGGGGCAUUUUUACGAUUUUCCUACUAUUUUUUACCUAGUUUCAAAGAUUUUUGAACAAAAGAAUCCAAAAUGUAAAAGAAGAUGACACCUGGCGCGAUCUCAGCCCGUCACUUUUCACUACUUGCACAAGUGUACGUCAGUCAACAUGGCCACAUCCUCUCAUUUUACCCUAAAUUAUUAUUUUAUUACGUUUUGUCUUGGAAAAUUCAUAACUAAAUACACAAAAAUUCAAAAUUAUUUCUGAAAAUUGCUACGAACUCAUUGACACUCCAUCUCCGUUGCUGAAUUCUCCGAUUCAUUGUUACGCAUUUUUAAAAUUAAUUCCCAACAUUAACGGGAGAUGCUUGUUGAAGUAGGUUAUUCAAGUUGAAGUUAACAAACAUCAAUACUUAGGGUUAAGAGGAAAGUGAGUUAUGUAACACAAUUUGGAUUAUUUCAUUGUGAGACGAAUGAUUUAUAGGUUCUCCUAGUUUUAUGACGUCACAAGUAGGCCGGAGUAAUUUUUGGGCCAUUUUUACGAUUUUCCUACUAUUUAUUACCUAGUUUCAAAGAUUUUUGAACAAAAGAAUCCAAAAUUAACAAGAAUAUGACACCUGGCGCGAUCUCAGCCAGUCACUUUUGACUACUUGCACAAGUGUACGUUACCGAACAUGGCCACAUCCUCCCAUUUUACCCUAAAUUAUUAUUUUAUUACCUUUUUUCUUGGAAAAUUCAUAACUAAAUACACAAAAAUUAGAAAAACGAUCCGAAAAUUUCUACGAACUUAUUGCGAUUUCAUCUUCCUACUGCAUUCCCUGUUUAAUGGUUAUGCUACAUUAGUAUUUUAUUAUUAUUUAUCCACAAUUAUUAUAAUUAUUAUGAUAUUACUUUUUAGGCUGUCCAUUUGUUAAUUAUACCACAUCCAACUUGUUGAAAACAAUUUUAUUUUCCGUGCGAAUAGGCCAUUUGUAGUGCUUAUCGGUUUCUCUGUUCUUCAAUUUGUUAAUUUUUUUAUUUUUUAGGUUGAAGGGAUGUUUUGAAACAUAAUAUGGAAAUAUACAAGUCAUCCAUUGUACUCCUUCCACACAAAAAAAUAGUCUACGUCAUUCACUGUUCAACACCCUAGGUUAAGACACGUGUAACCAAAUCCGUUCGGAUAUGCUAAGUGGGAAAAUGUCAUUCCCAAGCACUGGUGAAAAGACACUUAUUUACUCCAUGCAUGACUUUUGGUUUACCAAAUAUGAAGAUUGGGGUCGGUGAGCAAAAUAUCUGUGUCAGUAAAAUGUCAUUCCUAGCCAUCUAUGAUGUAAGUAAUAAUUCCGCUAUAUAAUAAAUAUUAUACAUUUAUAUAUAAAACGGUUUAUGACAAAAUACCAACAUUUGAACAACAUUUAAACUGAGAUAGGUAUAACGUAGCCAGCCAACCUAGAAGUGAAGAGAAGCAAGUCCACAAUGCAUCAAAACUGUAAAUUCGUACUAAAACUAAUGCAAAAAUACGUGAUUCCCUCGCACAACUUACUCACGCAGGAUUUUGCACCAAAAAAUACUCUCACGGUGCCAUUUGCAUCGGUUGCAGCAAGUCCAAAACGCAGGAUUUAUCUUGUCUUCACUAGGCCACCCUGGAAUAACAAAAUACCAUUCAUUGUUGUUACAAGCGCUGCACCGAUUGAACUUAAUCUUCCCAUAGUCAAACAUAUCUACGAUAUGUCUUGCAACAAAUGCUCCGCGACAUCUUCCUGUUAAAGCAUCCCUGGUUCCUUUCAUAUCAAUGUUGUUACGUUGAUUCAAAGAACACAAGAAUUGUAAUGCAUCCUCUUUUGACUGACCAAUUCCGGACAUACCAAGUAGUCCAACUACAUAUGCCGCUUCCAUAUGGCCUGCCGUGGCUGCAAUGCGCAUCCCAUACAACGCUUCCACCUUACCGUCUGUGAAAAAACCUUCGAAUGCUUCUCUAAAUAUGGACUCAGGGUUAUCGCAAGCCCUGCAUUGUUGCAAGAAAUGCUGGACUGCAGGUUUGGCACGGUAGCAGAUAGGAUGGUGUGGGUACUUUGCCAUUGAAAUGGUGUUCCACACUUGUGGACUGUUUGCCAAAAUGUUGAACAAUCGGCACACACAUGCCAUACGGAAGAGAUCUUCCGAUGAUUCGGUUGCCACGUAUAACAUCACUUGAAACCAAGCGGACUCCGGGAUAAAGGCUUCGGGCAUAUCGAAAUGGAGAUGCUUCCUUCUCUUUCCUCCGACUGUAGUGAAGUGUUUCGAAUUCAUUGAAAAGUUUUUGGAAUGGAACGAUUUGAGGAGUGGCAGAGGGGAUAAAUGAUAAUAUUUGGGGUACACGUUCUACUUCCGAGCCUCUGUUUAUAGUGUUUUGAAAAGGUGUUUCCAGUUGGGGUUUUUCCAAGUUGACCCUUUUGAAAGAAACUGAAUCCAAGUGAAUUAAAACUUAAGACAAAAGAAGGGAAAACGUCAUAACGGUGCAUACAGAGUCAGACAGUUAAAAAGUUAAUUAAAUGGCUAUUUGCAUAGCCAUUUUUGGGUUUAUCCCACUAUCAAAUUCAUUGAUACAAAUGUGAUGGAUUACUGACUAGUGACAGAAGGUCCCAUCAUAUACUUUUUCAUUUUCGCACACCCAACUAUCCCUAGUAAUGUUAUUAAAAUGGAACCAAUAAUGACGGAUUCUUAUCCAACUAGUUGCCUUAAUGAAAUAUAAAUAAAUUAAUAAAAUUGAAGCAGUGUCCCGUCAUUAGUCAGAAAAUAUAUUUGGUAGUGAAGUAGUUUCUAUUGCUUUUCGGGCUAAAAGAUGUCACAAUGCUGACGGUACAGGUGUCGACAUCGUGACCAACCCACCAAAUGAUCCCAAAAAAAAGUAAUAUAACUCGAUUUGGGCAGAGAUGAGAGAGAGCUGAGUGACAAGUUUAGGGUUAUGAGUGAAGGGGUAUGAAUGACAACUAUGAGUGAGAAGGUAUGAGUCCGAAGAGGUUUCAGUGAGAAGAUUUGAGUGAGAAGAGGUACAACUGAGAAGAUUCAACAUGUCUUCGUCUUCAUCUCCUGCUCAAACAAAGAGGUGUCAGUAUUGUGGAGCUACAAUGGUGCUUCGGGUUUCAAAAUCUGAAAAAAAAUCGAGGGAAGCCAUUCUGGAAGUGUCUAACCUCCUAUGUAAGUUUUAAUUUAAAGAAUAUGUAUGUGGGUGAAAAAAAACCUAUGUCUAACUCUGACAGAAUUAUAUUCCAUAUAUGAUGCCUGCAAUUAGGGAGCCACCAGUUGCAAUGGAUUCGAAUGGGUUGAUGUAACCUCCGCUGAAGCAGAACAUCAAGAUGACACGUAUGAUGUUAGAGUGCUGAACAUGCUGAAGUCCAUUAAGGACUUGGUAUUAGUUUUAUUAGUUGUAUUAAUUGUCAUUUUAUUUGUUCUUUUAAUGAUCAUUUAACUGCACGGUUUAAAAGAUUGUGAAAGUUCUCUCGCACAAGACAUAUUGCACGCACCACCAAUGAGACCCUAAACCCAUUUUGUAAUAUUUGGUAACUGCAUGUAUUUCGCAUGUUAUUGAAUGUUUAUUGAAGGUUUAUUGAUAGUUUGCUGCAUGUAUAUGGAAUAUCAUUGCCCCAAAAUUGGAUGUUUAUUGGGGCCACAAGUAUCACUCAAGUAAGAAUGAAGGGGAGAAACGGACCUUAUUCUUUCUUAUAGUAGGAAGAACAACUGUUAAGUUUAAUAUCCUAUUCAAUACGACUUCCCUAUGGUUGGUGUACUUGGGGACUGAAGUAUAUUGCAUCAUUAUUGUGGGCAAGGGCAUGUCUAUUGUGUGUGUUAAGGGAGUAUUGUGUGGGCAAGGGCAUGUCUACUGUGUGUAUAUUGCAUGUCUACUGUGUGUAUAUUGCAUAUCUAUUCUCUGUAUAUGGCAGGCCAAGUUUGUGUAUAUUGUUUGUCUGUUGUGUGUGUAUUGCUUGUCGGUGCGUUUGUGAAUUGUGGUUCAUUUUGUGUAUAUUGUCUUUGUUUCUACUUUUAUGCUACUGAGCUGCGGAAAACCUCGCAUGUUUAGACACCUAUUAUGAUGCAACACAUUGCGAUUAAUGGUGGCUUGCAUCAACAAUGACAUAUCACUUUGCAAUGAUGUAAUACACUUAAAAAGCCGUCUUCAAAUCCCAAUUCACAUAUGCAGUCUUAAAAUUCUAAUUCAAUGCAGUUUGGUUAACAAACAUGUAAAUGUCAUGAAGGAGUUAGCGGUAGAAUUCGAUAAGGACCCGUACGUCUCUAUUGUGUAUUUACAUUAGUUUGAGAAUGGACAUUCCCAAAACCUUCUCAUGUACCAUUUGUCAUCUUCAACCAAUAUCAUGGGAAGUAAGCAUCUCCCCUUGUUAUCUCCGCAGCCAAUUUCAACCGAAAAAAAGGCAUGUUGUGCGAGGUGCAAGUAGCUAACGGAAGCUUAGCGCUGAAAAGCUCAAUGUACUUUAACACAAACAUGCCACAAUCGCCUCUGAAGCAAAACAAGAACUCGAUCAAUUCAACUAAUGACAUUCUAAUGUAAUUGACAAUUGAAAGUAAUAAAAUUAAAUUGCAAGUUGUGCUUACUCAUUAGACUGUUGUGGAACAUCCACACGCUCUAUUGGCCACGGACACCACCAAUCUCGGCUGCAAUUGUUUGCAUAAACACCUUCUUCAUAAAAGUCGAUGGUGUUGAGAAGAUUUGGAAGCGUAAUUGAUAGCGGGCCGAGUUCUUCCUUUACGAUGUCAUCUGGAAUUAGUGAAACCUUUGAAUCGUACACUUUGAUUCACACAAUACCAGAUCAAACANNNNNNNNNNNNNNNNNNNNNNNNNNNNNNNNNNNNNNNNNNNNNNNNNNNNNNNNNNNNNNNNNNNNNNNNNNNNNNNNNNNNNNNNNNNNNNNNNNNNNNNNNNNNNNNNNNNNNNNNNNNNNNNNNNNNNNNNNNNNNNNNNNNNNNNNNNNNNNNNNNNNNNNNNNNNNNNNNNNNNNNNNNNNNNNNNNNNNNNNNNNNNNNNNNNNNNNNNNNNNNNNNNNNNNNNNNNNNNNNNNNNNNNNNNNNNNNNNNNNNNNNNNNNNNNNNNNNNNNNNNNNNNNNNNNNNNNNNNNNNNNNNNNNNNNNNNNNNNNNNNNNNNNNNNNNNNNNNNNNNNNNNNNNNNNNNNNNNNNNNNNNNNNNNNNNNNNNNNNNNNNNNNNNNNNNNNNNNNNNNNNNNNNNNNNNNNNNNNNNNNNNNNNNNNNNNNNNNNNNNNNNNNNNNNNNNNNNNNNNNNNNNNNNNNNNNNNNNNNNNNNNNNNNNNNNNNNNNNNNNNNNNNNNNNNNNNNNNNNNNNNNNNNNNNNNNNNNNNNNNNNNNNNNNNNNNNNNNNNNNNNNNNNNNNNNNNNNNNNNNNNNNNNNNNNNNNNNNNNNNNNNNNNNNNNNNNNNNNNNNNNNNNNNNNNNNNNNNNNNNNNNNNNNNNNNNNNNNNNNNNNNNNNNNNNNNNNNNNNNNNNNNNNNNNNNNNNNNNNNNNNNNNNNNNNNNNNNNNNNNNNNNNNNNNNNNNNNNNNNNNNNNNNNNNNNNNNNNNNNNNNNNNNNNNNNNNNNNNNNNNNNNNNNNNNNNNNNNNNNNNNNNNNNNNNNNNNNNNNNNNNNNNNNNNNNNNNNNNNNNNNNNNNNNNNNNNNNNNNNNNNNNNNNNNNNNNNNNNNNNNNNNNNNNNNNNNNNNNNNNNNNNNNNNNNNNNNNNNNNNNNNNNNNNNNNNNNNNNNNNNNNNNNNNNNNNNNNNNNNNNNNNNNNNNNNNNNNNNNNNNNNNNNNNNNNNNNNNNNNNNNNNNNNNNNNNNNNNNNNNNNNNNNNNNNNNNNNNNNNNNNNNNNNNNNNNNNNNNNNNNNNNNNNNNNNNNNNNNNNNNNNNNNNNNNNNNNNNNNNNNNNNNNNNNNNNNNNNNNNNNNNNNNNNNNNNNNNNNNNNNNNNNNNNNNNNNNNNNNNNNNNNNNNNNNNNNNNNNNNNNNNNNNNNNNNNNNNNUUUUCCUCUCCCUCAUCUCUAUUAUUUGGCCCUUCACCCCCUUCAAUCCCUUCAUCUUCUUUUUCCUCUCCCUCAUUUCUGUUACUUGGCCCUUCAUCCCAUUGAAUGUCAUCCAUUUCCCCAUAUCCCUUAAAUAGAUGUGAGACGACACAACGAUUCGUCCUCUGUUUCAGUAAAGCUAGGUCCCUCCUUACUUCCUGCUCAAACUGAGGACCUAAACAUUGGUCCAAUAGUUUUUCCAUCCGUAUGACCUUUAAGUGAAGGACGUCUUUUUCCCGCUUUUCUUGAAACAACUCGGACCUCAACAAGCUUACCACCUUGUUCAACUCAUCAAGAUCACCACAUGAAGAAGGAAUUGACUCUGCCGAGACAACAGCAGGGCGAUCCUGUGGCCAACUCCAAUAUGGCUGUCUCAUUUCCUCUUCACUUAGACAUAGCGCCCGCAACUGAACUGACUGUUUCAGAAUACAGACAAGAGUCAUAUUAAAUCAUUCUACUUCAUAAUUUCAUUCAAUCUUAUCAAUAGUUCUAAGGGCUGCAAACCAAACCUCUUUGCUCUGGAAAAAAUAAUUGUUCAACUUUCUCAUCUCUGGAACAGACGUAGUAGUUCUCCAUCGCAAAAUACGCGGGACAGCGGUCGGAUCAACAACCUUGCAGUAAUUCAGGUCCGCCAUUCUAGGAAUUAAUUCAUAUACCCAAAUCUACACAAUUCACAGGACAAAAGUCAUUAUUUAUGUUUUAAAGAAAAACAAAACAUAACUGACAUGAACAUUAUUACCAUGUACCUGGAAAGCAUACGUGAAACCUUUAAAACUCCAGCCACUCCUUUGCGCUUCACUAUGCUUAUCCUUCUUGCCCUUCUCAUUUCUCCGGCUUGUUCCCGUUACCUUACUUUUCCCCUUCCCUCUUCCCUCUUCAUUUUCCAAGCUUUUCACAUACUUUGUUGGUGCAGAAAAUAGACUGUCUUGGGUUUUGUCAAAGGACACCGAACCCCACGGAUACCUGUUGAACGCAUCCAAGUCCUCUACAAGGGUCAGGUAAUUUAGAUUGAUGUUCAAAUGUUUGUCCCUUCCCAAAACCACUAACUCAGCAAAGUAAACAAGAGGUAGCUUGAAGAUGUCAUCUUCCUCUGUGCACCUCACAAAUGCUUCUUCUAAAGCAUUGCAUGUAAUUCCUUCGUCUAUAAAAUAUCUUUUCUGAAGUCUGAUUUCAUUACUCUCUCCACUGGAAACUUCAGGCACUUCCCCAAAACGAAGCCCUGUGAUCAAACAGAAAUCCUGACGAGUGAACUGAGCAACGUCACACCCUAAUAAGAAACUCAGUCCAUCCAAGUCUUUCACACCCUGCCCCGCUACUCUACGCAACACAACCCCAUGCACAAUCUGUCCGCUAAACUGAAUCUUAUCUAUAUUCAGAAGAUGGCCAAAGCAUGAUGUCUUGAAUUGUUCUAAUUGUUCCGCACUCAACUUCGCUCGAAUUGCAGCUAGAGAUGAAUUUGCAUGUGAGCAGUUGUUCACCCGUGAUGAAUAUACCUCUGCCUCUGGCCAUACCAGCUCCACGUUGGAUCCCAUUUCCUCAAAUACAAUGUGAAAUAACGUGAACAUAUAUACUACCACGUAUUUGCACAAUCACAACUAGUCAACCAGGCACAUUACAACUUUUACAAAGUACAUGAGCAUAUGGAUUACUCAUCACAGGCUUUAACAUCAUCAAAGCAAUAUGACAAUUUUUGUGCAAAUACCUGUUAAUGCAAUGAUUAUGUGAAUUACAAACAAUUUCACGUGUUUUAUUUAUGGAUCCAUACUCGUGUGAGUGCAAUGUAGGCAAGUUCUGCACUUCACACACAUGACAAUUAUUGUCAUCUCAUACACAACCCAAAAUAAAUAAAUAAGAAAUAUAGUGGAAGGAAGCAAAGCAAAGCAUGUACUCUGCUAUCUGCUUGCUAAGCAAUUGCCACAUCCUUCUUUCUUUCUACCUUUUUCUUCAGUCACCCACAAUCGUCAUAGAUCAACCUUCAUUUCAAAUGCUUUGCACUUUUAUUCAUGAGUUUAUUAUUAUCUGUUCUCAUUUCUCAUAGGCAAAUUUAGUAACAAAUGAAAUAAUAUUUAUUUCACAAAAUAUAUAAAUUCUAGUGCCAGAGAGGUACUCUUCACUCUGCACUGCUUCAAAUGUGGAAGGUUUUGAGAUGUUAUUGACAUGUGAUUGACUUUAUUUUCAUUCGUUUUUUAACAUAUACCCAAGCAAAAAUUAACAUGCAAUUGAAGCACAAAUAAGAGAUGCCAAAUCCAACAACAUUGAUGGUACAAAUUGGGGAAAACCAUUACUCUAACCCUAAACUCAAAUUCCUUACAUUACUCAUCAAAUGCUUUGCAGUUCUAUUCAUGAGUUUAUUAUUAUCUGUUCAAAUGUUUCUCAGGCAAAUUUAGUAACAAAGGAAAUCAUAUUUACUUCAUAAAAUAUAUAUAUAUAUAUAUAUAUUCUAGCGCCUCUUCUUAAUCUGCACUAUGCACUGCUUCAAAUGUGGAAGGUUUUGAGGGCCUCCUCCAAUUCAACACCAUUAUCUUAUUCAUAUCAUUAUUGACAUGUUAUUCACUUGUUAUUGACUUCAUUUUCAUUCUUUUUUUAACAUAUACCUAAGCAAAAAUUAACAUGCAACUGAAGCACAACGAAGAGAUGCCAAAUCCAACAAAAUUUAUGGUACAAAUUGGGGAAAACCAUUACUCUAACCCUAAACUCAAAUUCCAUAAAUUACUCACCAAAUGCUGGUUAUUGCAAGGUGUCUGUGUGGGGUCUUUCUGUUUCUUUGCUCCACAAAUGGAACCUACCACUUCCAACGAAUACAGCUUUUCCCCUUCCCCUUCCACUGCUUCGCCUCUUCACUGAUUUGGAAUCCACACCUUUGCCCCUUCUACUCCAAAUAAAUACUUUCUCGGGGUCUGGAGAACGGAGUGGCGAAUCGUUGCCUUCAACUGUCGUUAGCCGUUGCCUUCAUUGGGUAUCUCAGACCUCUGUGUUUUAGAGAGAUGAGUUCUUUCUGUUCAAACUUCGAACUUGCCUCUUCUUCUUCUUUUUCGGACGUGUUUCCCUCUUCUUCUUCUUUUUGGACGUGCUGGAUAUUCAAUUCGGGUUUGGGUUCCUUACCUACCCAAUUGUGAAACUUUAACUCAAUUCUCCCCAGCCCUUGGAUUAAUCUGAUGGCUAUAAAGUGAACCCCUUAUAACUUACCCCUUAUAACUUUCCACUCAUUAUAGUCUUGGCCAGGUAUGGCGGCCAUGCUAGUAAGUGUUGGGUCUUUGACCCAACUUAAGCUAAAUGGGUCAUAAGAUGACCGAUCAUCUUAUCUCAUAAGGAUAUAUAAGUCAUGUUAUGAUUUAGGAUUUUAUAGGGUUUCCUUUGUAAGAGGUAAGAGAGAAACAAGCUCUCUCUCUCUCUACACAAGGAGGUCAGCCAUAGCAAGGGAAAGGCUCCUAGCACUCUCCUCUCUCUUAUUAUAUCAUCCUUCCAAGGACAGCUUUGGUAUGGUAAAGUUGGAGGUUGCACACUUUGUGCACUUUGGUAAGAACUCAUCCAAGGGAGCCAAGAUUAAAUUGGUUAGCUGUUGGAUUAAAUUGGUUAGCACGAUUCAACGGUUAAUAGAUAAAACUUCACAUAAAAGUCAUAUAUAAGGCCCUCACUAUAGAAUGACUCGUUAGUUUAGUCUCUUGUUACAUAUCAAAUGUUAGAGAUAUUUUUUAAUAAGGAUCUGCCAUACCACAUAGUUGGAUAAGACAUUAUACACGGCUUUUGUAAGAGCAUCUCCAGCGCUCCAAACUAGCCCAAGCAGCAGGGGGGCCUAAGUCUAGGAAGCAGCUCCAGCUCGCAAGAUUCAACCCAGGCAAGGUGUGGAACCCACGAGGAGAUCUAGCCCGUCACCUUGCCUUUGGGUUUCAGUCAAGCUGAUGUCAACGAAAGAAUUUCAAAUUUUUUUUACCGUUACAAUGUACGCGCCAACGAUAAAUUUUCUUUGGAUUUCUUGCAUUGAUCCACAGCUACCAAAAACCAACAGCUACAAGCCACGUGGCUUCUCCAGGAGCCUCCGAUCCAAAAAUCAUGUCAAAUCUAACGGCAGUCCAUUUUUUGGCUAAAAAUAUCAAAAAAUUAUGGAAACAUGUUCUAUAAAUUCCUACAAAUAUUAUUCACUUCCCACACCAAAUCUUCAUACAAAUUCAUAUCCUUUCAAUAUUUUUCACUUUCCAUACAAGAUUUUCUACUACUAAGUUUCGUUUGUGUAAAAAUACAAAUGACCUCUUCUAUCGAAGCCGGAGGCGCGUGUACAACCGUGGAAGAUAUUUUGUUGCGUGAGUGUUGGGUCAAAGUUGGUCAUUCCCUGAUCACGGGCAAUGAGAUGAAGUCCUCUCGUAGGAGUUUCUGACAUCGCAACGAAAGUAAGAUGUGAUAUGAAAAUGUAAGGAAUUUGAUGAGAGGAAUGGGAUUUGAGGAGUUUGAUGUAGGAAUUGAUGUAGGAAUUGAAUUUGGGAGGUAUGUAUAUAAGAUUUGAGGGUAUGUGUUUAGGGAUUUUGAUAAGAGGAUUUGAGGAAUUUAGAUUUGAAGGAUUUGGAUUUGGGGAAUUUAAAUAUGAGGAAUUUGAUUAGGGUUUGGGUUUGAAUAUGUGAAAUUUGAUAUGAGAGUUUAGAGACAACAGAUGAUCGAUUGCUCUGAUACCAUGCUAAAAUAUGAUAUGGUUUGAAUACUUUAGGUUGAGUUUUAUUCUUUUCCAUAAAAAGGUAUAUAUAGGAGUUUACAUGAGUGCUUUACAAAGAAAUAGAUACAAUAAUCAAUUAGGAUAAUAUCUCCUAAUUAUACAAUAAUUUGUCAACUAUAUAGAAUAGGAAAGUAAAUUCCUUAAUUAAUCAAGAAAAUAAAUCUCAUUGAUUAAUUAGGAGACUAACGUCAACAUUUAUAAGCCAUAAAAGAGCAGAAAAAGAGGUACUUAGGAGAUUUUAUACGUCGGACUAAGGUAAGCUUAAAGGACUAUAUCAAAAAAAUAAGGGACCAAGAAGCAAGACAGAGAAGUUGUUAUGCAAACCCAUUAAGUUUAGCAGUGAUGAAUUUGUAAAAAUCAUUCUAGUGGAUUCUGCCUUCACUAUUGAGUUCUUAUUGAGGUUCUAUCUGAAAGGAUCUGGACAUGAAGGAGACCGCUUAUUAAACAAACCGUGGAUGUUUACAGCCUGACAUGUGGUUGCUUGAAAAUCAGCUCCCAUUCUUUAUUCUUGAGGAUCUUUAUCACACAUACAUAAUAACCGACUCUUUUAGGAAUUAUUACAGUACUCAUGAUCAUGAGAGGCUUUCAAUAAUUAAUAUUUCUAAGAAUUUCUUCACAGCCGGAAUAUUGAAUUUGGAGGGGAAGGGAGACAAAUGGAACAGAAUAUCAUCUUCUUCUAGUGUUGGAAAUUUUAUAUUAUUUAAUAAUAUUUAAUUUCUAUUGUGAAUGAAAAAUAAGUUUCUUUAAGAAACGUGUGUCUUAGGCCAGUUUUUCUAACUGGUCGGCUUCCUUAGAUUUGUGCCUAUUGCUUUUCAAAGUAUAAUGAUGCAAUGGUUGUAUCUCGUUCAGGCAAAUGGAAGGUAUAUAGCAAUUUAUAGAACAAUACAGUAAUCCAGAAGAAAUAUUAUGAAAUGAAAAGAAUAAAAAGUAAAAAAAGAGAAAGAAAGGAAUUCCCACCUGCAAUGUAUAUGUAUGAAAGGAAGGACCAAGUUUGUUUUAAAAUGGUAAGAACAAGUUGAUUUUAAAUUGGGUUCAGAUCAACUCAUAGAUUUCUUGCCUUUUCUGUUCUCCUUCCUUGGACAUGAACUGUUUAAUCUUGGACUCUUCCCCAUCAUGUUGGGCCUGUCUUCUUCUUGAGGAUUGUAUAGGCCUAGGAAAUGCUUCGGGGUAGUUUUUGUGUUUUGGGCAUUGGGACCCAACUUCACAAAAAGAAAACAAAUUUGACCAAAACACAAAUUUGAAGGACAUUGAAAUUGUACCCGUAGGAUAGAUUAAAACACUAUAAGGGAGGUAAAUAGUACGUUUACAGAGUUUAAGUGUAAUAAAGGAAUAAAAACAUGCCCAGAGAAUUGAUAAGUGAUAUCAAUUCUUGAAUAUACGUGAAAAUUAUUUUAUGUGGUUAAACCCCACCUCUGGGGAAAAUCCACGGAACUUCUUAGUCCAACUUCUAUCACUUAUCCUAGACACAUUCUAGAUAAUGUUUGCCAACCUCUUCGUAACUCAACUUCUGUCACGAGAUGAUCUUUCAACACUUUAUGUCGAACGCAAUACUGGUCACGAUUUCUUCAAGCUCGCCGGAGUUCUUCCAAUUCUCCUUAUAUUGAAUCUGAUACUAGUCACGAUCGAUUCAAGCUCAUCGGAGAAAAAUCGCCACAACAAUCUUGGUGCCCUCAACCGUAUGAGUCACUGAACAUGCAAAUGAAUACAAUAUGAAUGAUAAAAGUGUUUGAUAAAUCACCAAGUUAUGGAACACUUGAUGAUUUAUCUCAAAUAAAAAUUCAGCUUUCCAAAGUUUAUGAAUUGAAAAUAUGACCGUUAAAGCUCUCUAAACAAAGAAGACGAAGGUCUUAUUUUAUAGACUUUUACUUUACAAGAAAGAAAACACGUUGAAAACCAAAUCUCCAAUUUCCAAGGCUUGACAGAAAAUCACAAAAUUAUCUUUCCUAUUCUAGAGAUUGGUCACAUGAAGUCCAACCAAUAGGAAAUGAGAUAUUUAAGAAAGGAAGAUUUUGAUCAAUAUCAAUAUCAAAUGAAUUCUUAUACGCCUAGUCAAUUGUUAUGGGUAUCUUGACUCCUUGAUAUUGUGAUAUGAUUGAAACAUGAUUUCCACGUUAGAAAAUUAAGGGGAUGUUAAAACAUGAAGGUAAUAGGAGAAUCAAAUUGAUUUGGGCCAAAAUUGCCUAAAAAGAAAACACUCCUUAAUAAACUUCAAUUUACUUUUAAAAAUAGUAAAACGUGAUUGAAUCGUUCUUUAAAACAAUUCCCUAAUAUACAUGCAUGAUAGUGAUAUCACUUACCUUUGAAUCAGAUGGCUUUCACGGGUCAAGCCACAAGUUUUUGUCUUGGGGAUUGCUGAGCUUCAUCAAUCCUGCCAAUGUCAAUUUUGCCCCUAAGCUCUCUCAAAGCACGUUUACAACCUAUGCUAACAUAUAUUAGAGUUUAUGUUAGUAUCAAGAAAAUGCCAACACUAAUUUCGUAACACGUAGAAAUUGUUAGAGAUUGAAGUUUUUAUCAUUUUUUCUUCCAGACUCUCCACCACUCACUAAUAUAGUUUACUCAUGUGAUGAGUUUACAAAACCUAUUUCUCUACUCUCACAAAGACUAUACUUAGGGGGGUGUAUUCAAUUAGGAUUCUAAAGCGUUUAAAAAGAUUUUGUUUAAGUGCCAGCUUUCAUAGAACUUGAUGGAACUUUAUAAUUCGUAUAGAACUUGAUAGACUUUCAGAAGACUUCUGUAUAAUUUUUUAAUAAAACUUUCUUAAGCUUUCAUAGAACUUGAUAGGCUUUCAUUCCAAACUUAUGUAGAUGGUAUAUUUCAUUUUAUCCCCAUCCUUGACAUUUAAAGAAAGAAACUUGAAUUUUUUCAAUCAAAUUUGUUUUUGUUACCAAAGCAGCAAAAACAAAAAGUACUUGUUUGCGAUGGAAGAACAUAUGCACAGUUCAAAAUGAAAAGAAUAAGAAGCAAAGUACCUAUUUGACCAAUGAAUGCUGUGUCAACUAGAGAAGCAAUUGGAUCGGCUGUCAAAGCCAAUGCUGCAGGCAAUGCAUCGAUGGUCCAAAUUGCAAUAAAAAAAUAUUUUGAAUAAUGGCUCUUGCAGACAAAGACCACAUAAAUUCUGAACUGGUCUAGCUUGAAUAAUAAGGUUAGAUUAGCCAAUUGAUGAGAUUAAAAGCAAAGCAAGUUGAUGAAUUUAUCAUCAACUAUUUAAUAACCACAGUCCUGAUCUCUUGGACCCCUGUAGUCCAAGAGAUUUAUGGUCACCCACCGUUGGAUGUAAAUUCAACGGUUGACUUGAAUCGGGUAAUAAUCAUUUAUGUCAUAUUGCAUUUAUAUAUAUCAUUUUGAACCAUUGGAUUAAUAUCCAACGGUGGGUGACCACAAUCUCUUGGACUCCUGUGGUCCAAGAGAUCGGGACUGUUAAUAACCAAUAGAGUAUUUAAACAUAAACAACAAUGUUUGAUCAACAAAACAAAUAGUCCAAAUAUCAUCCAAAAAACAAUAACAAAAAAUCAAUCAUUCCAAACAAACUAGUCAUUCUCAAAAACUCUCAAAAAACCCACUCAUUCCAAAUUGUAGGAUAUCCAAUUUGAGCACUCCUCAGGAGACAUUUUCAAAAAUGCAUCCUUUUUUGUGUUACUAUGCAACAAAGAGAGUGCUUUAUAACGAGCAUGUUCAUCCAAAUUUGGGGUCUCCUUAAUGGCAUCCCAUAUAUAACUCCGCUGCUCUCUCUCUUUUUCCCUUUUUGCCAAUAGGUUAUGGACCUCCCGGAAGUCGAUGACAAUUGAAUCAAUGCUAAGGCUAAUUCUUCCCAUAGCUUGCUGGGUGGUCACAUUUGAGAUAGCAUUCCCUUCCAAAUAUGUUCUAGUUCGUUUCCUCUAGUAACAAGCAUAAAUCCUAGUAACAAGCAUAAACCCUAACCCCAACCUAUAACCUAAUAACAAGAAGAAAACCCAACGAGGUAUUGAUCAAAGAAAAAUUAGGGAGCAUACCUUCACAGAUGGAGGAAGGAAGCUGUUCGUCUUCGCAGAGAGAAAAUCUAGGGAAAGAGAAAAACGUCUUAUGAAAUACUUGGGGGGGAGGUUGGAUUUAUUUUGGUCUUUUUUAUUUAUAACUCUCCCCUUAAAACCUACGUAAAUUUAUCACUUAAUGAAAUCCUUCCAAAUAUAUGACCUUUCGAAUACACCUAGAUUUGAUUCAACUUUUUUAUAAUCAUAAUUGAAUACACCCAUAUUUGAAUGGACUUUUUAAAAGUUCAUAUAGGUCCGAAAUGAAUAUACUCAAACUUGUAAAACCUCUUUUAAAGUUUGUAUAAAUCCAAAUUGAAUACACCUGGAUUUUUAAAAUCUUUUUAAACACUUUAUAAUCCUAAUUGAAUACACCCCCCUUAUUCUCAAAAGACUAUAUUACUUUACCUCUAUCUCUGUGAAAUGUAAAAAGUUGAAACUUUAAUGUCAAACCUCAACAAAAGAUGAACUUUCAUCAGUUACGUUGAAUUUGGAUUUGUUGAACUUAAGUGGUUUUAUUUUCUUUGUCAGUGUUUGAUGACUUAAUUUGGUAUUUAUUUCUUCUUUUUUUUCCUUGGAAAUGUGUUCCACCAACGUGAGGAAGAAAAAUAUGCACAAAUUAAUAUAUUUAAUAGAAGCCCAAGAUUUCGGAUGCAUAUAAUUUCUACAAAAAUCUACAAAGUUUUUUACUUUACAAACUUCUUAUGUCUACCAAUUUCUACUAAAAUUAAUUUCUCUGUGGUGCUCAAAUUCAUCAUAUGUGUGUCGUUAAUUUUAUUGAAAAUUGGAAGUUCCCAUCAUUUUUGUUUUUUGGGAAUUUUCUGAACCAAGGAAAAUCAAGUAAAAUUAAUAAAGCCUAAAUUGGAAAGGGAAAAUAUCUAGAGGAUGCAUUGUAGGAUUGCUCAUGCCAAUAAUUGUACCCUCUAAAUAUAUAGAGACAUAUUUUUUUUGUUUUCAUGACAUGUGGUCCUAAAAUUAUUGUGUAAAUCUUCAAUCCUGAACGAUGCACCUAAAACUCAUCCACCCAUUCUCAGGCCAAUUAUUGCACCUAGUGGGCUCUCGACCCCCUCUCAAAUUUAACCACAUAUUUUAUGGACCAUCCAGCUGUGAGGUACAUUCCCCCCACAUGCCACAAUUGUAUAUUCACAAUUACGUCUGAUACAUCACAUCAUGCCACUUGCCUCAAAUGAAUUUAAGUGAGUGAGGCAGUUGGAAGUAAUUAAGCUCUAUAUUGGUGGGUGGAGUGUUACUUCUCGGUUCCCCUCAUCAUUCGUCUAUAAAAUGGUGAAGGCAGUUGCUAUUGUUACCAUAAGAGCCAGCUCCGACUUCCUUUAAUUUCUUGCUUCAUAUCCACUAGCUACAUCUGUUACCAAGUUAAUUUCAGUUCUAAUGGGGUUUCAUCUCCCACUCAUCUUUGCUCUUCUCAGUGUAAGCUCUGCAAUUUGAUUAACUUUUCCAUUCUCUCUCAUUGUACUCUAUAUAAACGAAAGUUUUGUGUUCCUAUUGUUCUCUCCGAUUUUAUUUAGUACGUACUUAAGUGUCGUCCACUAAUUAAUUAUACUUUGUGAUUUGAUUUUAAUUUGAGUUUGAAUUAAUGUUGCAGCUAGCAGCAGUGGCACUGGCAAACCAUGCUGCUCAACCAGCACCUCAACUUUACUGGAGCUCCGUCCUGCCAAACACACAGAUGCCAAGAUCUAUCAGUGAACUUCUGCAUCCUGGUUUGUGUUGAGCUCUUUAGAAUCUUAGAUAUCUCUUCUACCUGCCAUUUUACUAAAAUAUGUUCCACCACAUAUUUAUCAGUUAACCAUUGUCAUUACAUGAGUGACACAUAUUCACAAAUCGGCUGAUCACUUAUUUUCCAUUAUGACUUGAUAUAUAAUUUGCAGACUCCACAAAUGAAGAAAAGAGCACAAAUGACGUUGGCAAACCUGAAACUUUCCCAUUGGGCAAUCAACAUUACUCCAGUCAAAAACAUUAUGGAGGCAUACCUGAAACUUCCCCAUUGGGCAAUAAACAUUACUCCAGUCAAAAACAUUAUGGAAGAGGCAAACCUGAAACUUUCCCAUUGGGCAAUCAGCAUUACUCCAGUCAAAGACAUUAUGGAAGAGGCAAACCUGAAACUUUCCCAUUGGGCAAUAAACAUUACUCCAGUCAAAAACAUUAUGGAAGAGGCAAACCUGAAACUUUCCCAUUGGGCAAUCAGCAUUACUCCAGUCAAAAAAAGUAUGGAAGAGGUGCUUCUCCAUCCGACAAUCAACAACUCCAUUAUAAAGACUUAGCUAUUUUCUUCUUGGAGAAGGACAUGCGCCCUGGCACAACAAUGAAGUUCCAAUUCCCUAUAAAUUCAAACACGGCUACUUUCUUGCCACGAGAAAGCGCUCAAUCGAUCCCCUUCUCCUCUAACAAACUGCCAGAAAUUUUCAACCAUUUUUCAGUGAAGCCAACAUCUGAGGAAGCCAAAACAAUUAAGCAAACAAUCGAAGAGUGUGAAGCUCCAGACCUUAAGGGAGAGGAAAUAUAUUGCGCCACAUCUUUAGAAUCAAUGGUUGAUUUUAGCACUUCGAAGCUUGGAACAAGAAACGUUGAAGCAAUCUCGACGGAGGUAUUGGAAAAAGGAGCCACCAUGUCCAUCCAAAACUAUACAACAAUGCCGGGACUGAAGAAGUUGGCAGGUGACAAAGUCGUUGUGUGUCAUAAGCAGAACUAUCCCUAUGCUGUGUUUUUCUGCCAUGCAAUAAAACAUACAGCAGCUUAUGCUCUCUCCCUGAAAGGCGAUGAUGGGGAGAAGGUUAAAGCAGUAACCAUCUGCCAUCUAGACACAUCAGAAUGGGACCCAGAGCAUAUGUCCUUCCAAAUCGUCAACGUUAAGCCCGGAACCAUUCCCAUCUGCCAUUUCAUUUCCACUGAUGCUAUUGCCUGGGUUCCGAACCACAAAUCUGCAUGAUCAUCACUUAGCACUAGUACUGUGCGUAUAAUAUGCCUGUAUAAUUAUCUCCCUACUUAUUUCUGCCUCUUCAUCAUGUGGUGUAAGAUAUAUGUUGAGAUGAAGUUUUUGGGAUUUGUGGUCGAAAUUAACCCGAUCAUGUUUUCUCUUGCAACCAUAUAGACUUCAACUUGUACUCAUAAUAAAGCAUGCUAUAUUUAU
rnacentral:lncRNA from 1 species